UUGUUGGAGGGUAGGGACUAUUAUUUGACCUUUAGAUGGUUAGUCUGUCACUUCGAAGUUCGAACAAUGAUUAGUUAGAUAUCAUAAGUUUCCAACAAUAAUUGUGAAUUUUCAUUGGUUGUUAACUUGUUAAUGUCGCUUUACAAAUUGAUCAUGCUAUUGCAUACAAGGAUUUGCUUUCUUCUAGUACAUGGUUCAAACUGACUUGGAUUACCAUGAAAAAUGCAGUUUUCCUUGUACUUGUUUCUCACAUUUAAGAGUAUAUCCUUCUUUUCCCCCAUUGAAGAUUGUGGUGCAGGAAGUUGUAAACUUCUCUUGGGAAUGCUGUCCCUAAUGUGUUUGAAUGGAGGAUGAAUUUAGGUGGAAGAAUGUUUCUGAAAGGCACAUCAAGAUAUGUGGAAGAUAGAUUUCUUGUUCAGUUAAAAACUUAAAAUCCCUGAAUUUCUCCAUAUAUGAAAUACUCAAAGUGGCCUAUAUGGGUUGUGAGCGGACAUUGCGCUGUACUCUAUGAUUAUUCAAAAAUGAGAAUGAACUGGAGAAAAAGGGAAUCAUAGAUUGGAAAUAUUUUGAUGAGCAAGAUCAUAGCAAAAGUGUGGAGGGUACACUUGCAGUAAACAUAUGAAAAUCAGUCAAAGAUUAGAAACCUCUUUAGACAUAUUAGUAAAAUAAACAAACAAAAAAUAUUCAAAGGCACUAUAACAUGACAAACUAAAUGCCUUCAAUAUGUUAAUCACCAAAUAAAAAAUCAUUUACCUGGAGAUAUAAGACUGAUCUAAUGGUAAAGGGAAAAGAAAAGUGGUUGCAUGUUUAAAUCCUUUUUUUUUUUUACAAAAAUUAAUAAUAUUAAUAACUAACAUUUACUAGUAAAAAAUUCUCUUUAAAAUAAAACAUUCAUGAUAAUACUUAUGAGAAAAAUAUAAACAUCAGUCCAAAACUCUUAAAUAACUAUAUUAGAGUAAUUCCUAUGUAAUUAGAAGUUUAUUGAUUUAAGUGAUAUUGAACUUGAUUUUCUUCGAAAAGGUAUUGAGUUUGACCUUUGUGAAUGAAAAAAAAUAAUUGAGAAGGGAAAAUUUUAUUAAAGAUAAUCAUCUAAAAUUCCAUAGAUUAAUAUAAACAAAGGAAAUUCAAUAACACAUUAAAAAAAAAGAAUAAUUCCUAUGCAUUGCAUACACAACUGGAAAAAGUAAUCAAAAUAGUGGAGUGUAGACCUGUGCAAGAGAGAUAAAAGUACAAAACAAUAAAAUAUUCUAAAAAAAUGAUGUAUAAUAAUAGGUAUAUAUAUAUAUAUAUAUAUAUAUAUAUAUAUAUAUAUAUAUUAUAUCAUAUCAUAUCUUAAUAUUAUUUAAUUUAUCUCAAAUAUAAAAUAGAAUACCCUCUAUUAUCUGACAAAUUAUUUGAUACAUAUGAUAGAUAAUAUAAAAAAUUAUCAUAUUCUUUUCUUAUCUUAUUUUUAUUCAAUUCUUUUAUUCUAUCUUAUCUUAAUUACUCUUUUCAUCUUUAAUUAUAAAAUGUUUUUAGAAUUUUAUUUAUUCUUUUUUAUAUUUUUUUAAAAAAUAUCUAAAUAUAUUAGUUAUUUUUUUCUACAUAUUCUCACUUAAUUAUUCUCUUUCUAAAUAAUAAUGAAAAAUAAUUAUUAAAUGAAUAAAAAAAUUAAUUUUUUAAUAUAAUUAUUUAAAUUAAUUAUUUUUAUAUGAAUUAGUUAAAAUAAUGUUAUAAUUAACCUCUAUGAGAAUAGUAUACAACAUUAAAAUGUUGGUCCCAAAACCUUAGGAAAAUAAAAGACAGUAACGCACCAUGGACAUAGGUUAAUGACAAUAAAUAUCAAUAACAUUAAAUAAAAUGACAUAAACAAAUCAUUUUCAAAUUUUAAAGACUAAAAUGUAUAAAUAAUGAAGGUGUAAGAUCAAAUUAAUAGGUUAACCUAAAAUAAUUUAAAGUUACAAGAUACAGAAAAAAUACAACCCUAGAACAAGAACACUGUGCUUGUGCAAAUUUCUUUUACUCUGCCUCAGUUAUCAUUGCGUAUACAUAUGUGCACAAAUACGUAUACAAUACUAUUUAAUAUUUACCCACAAUUCAUUCACUCACAUUCCUACAGGGUUCAAACCUUUGCUUCACUCCUUCAACGCCGUACUAUCGUUUCCGAGAACCAUCUCUUUUUUUCUCGCCGCUCUUCCCCGCAAUCGCAACGCGCGUUUUGCUUCUCCUUUUAUCGCAGAUUCUCUGCGUCGUCACCAGACUCACGUACGGUUCGCCCUACACGAAUCUCGCACUUUUUUUAUUUUUCUCCCUCUGGCGUAGAAUUUGUGCAAAUCGAUCUUUUUCUUCAAUUUUCCUUUCGAUUUUGCAGUUCCGUGAUUCGAACGCGGCGUGGGGAAGAGAAAACCCUAAUCCGACAUGGGGAAGAAGAAGCCGACGGCGAGGGACGAAGAGAACGCGUCGCAGCAAGGCGGCGGCGGGAAAUCGAAGAAGAAGGCGGUUGUCAUCGACGACGAUGAGUACUCCGUCGGAACUGAGCUCUCCGAGGAGCAGGCACCGGCGUCAGAGGAGAAACCCGCCGCGGCGGGAAAGAAGAAAGGUAAGAAAGGUAAUGCUAAAGCUAAGAACAAUGAUGAUGAUGUUGAUGAGGAUGAGGAUGUUUCUGGAAUUGUGUUUGCUGGGAAGAAGAAGGGGAAGAAUAAGAAAGGUGGUGGGAGCAGUGCGUUCACUGCUUCUGGCUUUGAUUUGCUUGGUGACGAGGAAGAUGAUGAUGAAGAGAAAUCUGGGUUGACCGGUGAGGUUGAUGGUGAGGAAGAGGAUGAACCUGUGGUUAGUUUUACGGGGAAGAAGAAGUCAUCCAAGAAAGGAGGUGGUAGUUUGUUCAGUGCAUCUGCUUUUGAUGAUGGUGAGGAGGAGGAGGAUGAGACAGUGAUUAGUUUUUCUGGCAAGAAGAAGUCCUCUAGAGGUUCGAAGAACUCUGCCUCGGCUUUUGAUGCUAUUGAUGAUGAUGCGGAUGGUAAGGUGGUGGAUGAUAAGAAUGACGAUGUUGAUGAUGAUGAUGAGCCUGUUAUUUCUUUCACUGGGAAGAAGAAGUCUUCCAAAGGGGGUAAGAAGGGUGGUUCUGUGUUUUCGGCUGCUGUUCUCGGUGAGAUUGAUGACGAUGAGGAGAAUAAGGAUGAUGGUGGUGGUGAUGAUGAUGAUGAUAUUGGACCGAUCACUUUCUCUGGUAAGAAAAGGAAAUCUUCCAAAAAGGCUGCUAAUUCCGUUAGCAAAGGUGCUUCUGUUGAGGAAGGUGAUGACAAGGAUGAGGAUGAUGUUUCUUUAGUUGCAUUUUCAGGUAAAAAGAAGUCUUCUAAAAAGAAGGGCAGUAGUGCUGCUGCCAAAGCGAGUGAUGAAAAUGUGGAUGUAGUGGAGCCUGAGGCACCCAGUGUUGGUAGUACUGAUGCUGGCAACAGCAAUGUAAAUAAGAGUGAAGAGGUCGCUGGAAAUUCUAAAAAUAAAAAGAAGAAUAAGAAGAAGAGUGGAAGAACUGCUCAAGAGGAGGAAGAUUUGGACAAACUUCUUGCAGAGCUUGGUGAGACCCCUCCUGUACCCAAACCCACAACUCUACCCCAGGAUGAUAAAGUUCAGCCUAUUCCUGAAGUAGUACCUGUUGCUGAUGCUUCCGGGCAAAAGGAAGGUGAAGAGGAGACUGUAGAGACAGCUGCUGCAAAGAAGAAGAAGAAGAAAAAGGAAAAGGAAAAGGAGAAGAAGGCAGCUGCGGCAGCAUCAGCCGUAGGAACUGCACCAGAAAAUGGAACAGCAGAAGAUAAAGCUGAGGUAAUUGAACCGAAGAAGAAUGAUUCAAAGGCUAAAAAAGCGGCUGAUAAGAAAGUGCCAAAGCAUGUUAGGGAGAUGCAAGAGGCACUAGCUCGAAGACAAGAGGCUGAAGAAAGGAAGAAAAGAGAAGAGGAGGAAAGGUUAAGGAAGGAGGAAGAGGAGCGUCGUAAGCAAGAGGAACUUGAGAGGCAAGCAGAAGAGGCUAGACGCAGAAAGAAGGAAAGAGAAAAGGAGAAACUCCAGAAAAAAAAGCAAGAAGGUAAACUGUUAACUGGUAAGCAGAAGGAAGAAGCCCGCCGUCUGGAGGCAAUGAGGAGGCAGAUUCUCAAUAACACAGGGGGCAUGACUCUCCCUGGUGGGGACUCUGGUGCUCCACCCAAAAAACCCAUAUAUCAAACGAAGAAGGUAAAACCAAAUAAUCGUAAUCAGAAUGGUGCUGCUGCUGCUGCUCCUGCUCAGACUGCUGAAACUGUUGAAGCAAAGGAGACUGAUGCUGACCUUGCUUCAGAGGAACCAGAAAAGAUUGAAGAAGUGGAGUCGGUCCAGGUGGAUGACAAAGUUGAACUUCUUGUAGCUGAUGAAGAUGAUGGGGCGGAAGAUGAUGACGAGGAUGAAUGGGAUGCAAAAAGCUGGGAUGAUGUUAAUCUGAAUAACAAAGGUGCAUUUGCUGAUGAAGAGGUUGACUCAGAGCCUAAACCUAUCGUCAAGGAGAUUAAAAAUGCUGUACCUGCUCAGAAUGCUGGUGAGAUUUGCAUUUUAUUCAUAUUUUGGCUUGUUCUUGUCCUGCCUGAAAUUGAAACCUCUUAGAUGGUUGAGAAUGACAAGCUUGGUGCUGUAGAGUUCUGGUCCCUAUUGUGGUACCCUUAUUAUAGGUUAUUAUAAGCAUUAAAGAAUAUAUCUAUGAACGUGUUUUGGUAUACAGAACUAUAAAUUGAUGGUGCUUUGAAUUUUGGACCAAGCACUUAGUUUUGGAAUUUUUUUCCUGCUAGCAAGUGACUUCUUGGUUGUAUUAAUGUUUUUUUUUUAACGGCAUUAAUUUAUAUUGAAUUAAGAAGACAGGUAAUGGCACAAGUUGUGUCAAACCCAUUGAUAGAUUACAAAGUGAUAAGAGCAGUUUUUAAUAACCAUACACUUGCUUGAUGGUAGUUCCCAGGCCAAAACAAUGUAAAUGAAAAACCCUUUUAAAGACCAUAAGAGCAAACAUUGUUCUCUACUUGGUUAUAUUAAUGACAUUAUCACCUGCUUCCAUAAAGCAGAAAAUUGUUCAGAGAUUCUACUGACUACAGGAAUUGGUGUCAAACAUGAAACUGGCAGUGGGAUGCAUUCUUUUCUAGUCUAAAUAUGAUAACAAUGUGUAGUUUUAUCUCCACCCUUGCUUUGGAUUGAAACAAUGGUGUUUGAUUGACCCAAGUAAAUCUCCCUGUAGCAUGUGUUUAGUUGUUAUUGUUGUGUGUCUCCAAGUGCCUGAGGGGUUUAGUUGGUGGAUUUUGGCUUAUACUUUUGUUUCCCUAGUAAAUUUAAUCUUUUGAUUCUUUACUAAUAACUACUUCCCCGCUAAUGUAAAAAUUGGGUUCUUUCCUUCUAUGCAACAGGUGCUACUAAGCCUGUGGUUGAAGAAAUUGAAAAUGGAAAGCAGGCUAAGCCUCACUUGAAUAGGGAACCAAGAAAGUCUGCUGUGCCUCCUAAGCCUAGUGAUGAGAACCUCCGAUCCCCAAUUUGCUGUAUCAUGGGGCAUGUCGAUACUGGCAAAACCAAGCUGCUGGAUUGUAUUCGAGGUACUAAUGUUCAGGAAGGUGAGGCUGGCGGCAUCACACAACAGAUUGGUGCUACAUACUUCCCUGCUGAGAACAUACGUGAAAGAACAAAGGAACUGAAAGCUGAUGCAAAGCUGAAAGUUCCCGGUCUACUGGUUAUUGAUACCCCAGGGCAUGAGUCAUUUACUAACUUGAGGUCUCGGGGUUCAGGUCUAUGUGAUAUUGCAAUUUUGGUUGUUGACAUUAUGCAUGGGUUAGAGCAACAAACAAUAGAAUCACUAAAUCUAUUAAAAAUGAGGAAUACAGAAUUCAUUGUUGCCUUGAAUAAGGUGAGUACUUAUGUCUUACACUUUCUUGAGUGUUUUUUUUUUUUAAAAAAGGUCUUUCACACUGUUCUUGAAACAUUGCAGGUUGACAGGCUUUAUGGGUGGAAAACAUGUCGCAAUGCUCCAAUUGUUAAAGCAAUGAAGCAGCAGACUAAGGAUGUCCAAAAUGAGUUUAAUAUGAGGCUCACUCAGGUAGCAAGAUUUUUUUUUCUUCGUCAGUUGUACCAGACAAUUGUUAUUGUUUGCAACCUUAAUUUUCUUCUGUUUCAUUGCUAGAUUAUUACUGAAUUCAAAGAACAAGGGCUGAAUACCGAGUUGUAUUAUAAAAACAAAGAAAUGGGAGAAACAUUCAGCAUUGUGCCUACAAGUGCAAUAAGGUAAUUGUAAUAGCCUUGCAGCCAUAAUACUUUGCCAUCUCACCCUCCUGUUUGAAAAAAAAUAAUUUUUGAUUGGUAAUUGACUCUGGGUGGUUUUGGAGACAUAGUUGGGCUUUUGCCAUUUCUUUUGUGGUGAAAAUUGCUAUUGGAUCAAGUUCUCUGCCUCUGGUCUGAUGAAUGUUGAUGUCUCCUUUGUCAUUAAUAAAUGGAUGGGUUAUGCUUUUGAGACCUAUAUACUGCUCUUGUUCCUGCACACACCUAACAUUCCAAAGUCCAAAUGGGAUAAUACCAAGAGACACAAAUGUCUGAUUAUUAUUUUUGGGAAAAAUUUAGUGUGUGGGAUUAUGGGUAUGCAUGGGUAUUCAAUAAAAAUAUUGAAUUGUGAUUACAUACACACGAUUUUUACUAGUGCCUGAUGUAAUAUACACAAUAUUACUACAUGUGUCAUCAUUUUAGUAGAGCCCAAUUUCUAAAUCAAACAUUUUGUUGGUUUUGAACAAUUUCAGUCCAUCUGCUUUUAACAUUUUUGACACUGUUAGGAGGCAUCUUCUACUGCUUCUAAUAUUUCAGUGUGUUCCAGAACAUCUUAACUUUUUUGAAAUGUUUCAAAAUGGGUUCAAUCUGCACCCUACCUGAAAUUAUCGAAAAAAUGGUGAUUUGGUGAGGGAGAAGUGGGAGAAGACAGGUUAGGUUUAUGAAAAGGGGGGACACAUUUUUCAUAUAAUCUAUCUUUUUUAUUAGUGUUGCCUAAAACUGUUGCACAAUCUGCUUAAUGCUUUUCUUGUGAGUAAUGGUGUUGUAUUGUCUGAGUUUUUAUUUUUUGAUAUUUCAGUGGUGAAGGAAUUCCCGAUUUGUUAUUACUAUUGAUUCAAUGGACCCAAAAAACAAUGGUUGAGAAACUUACAUACAGUGAAGAAGUGCAGGUUAGCUUAUUGUUGUGUAAUAUAAAAGCUGGCUGAAUGCUGUAUGAUAAUUUAACUGUAGGGACCUAAUUGUUUGUUGAUUGUGGCCACCAGUGCACUGUUUUAGAGGUGAAGGUAGUUGAAGGCCAUGGAACUACUAUUGAUGUUGUUUUAGUUAAUGGUGUUCUUCAUGAAGGAGAACAAAUAGUUGUCUGCGGAAUGCAGGUAAGCAUCUUUAACUCUCACUGUAUCAUGAAAUUUUUAUUAGUAUCUGAUCUCUAGUUCAGCCUAAUGAAAUUUUUAAUAUAGGGUCCAAUUGUUACCACAAUUCGAGCUUUAUUGACACCUCAUCCGAUGAAGGAACUUCGUGUCAAGGUACAUCCACAUAAUUACUGUUUAUUUAUUUUGUUGUCACAUUACUGCUUGAUAAGGUGAUAGGAAAAUUAGAACUUUUCUACAUAACUCUACUAUGAAUGUCAACAAGAGUUUAUUUGGUCUGAAUUUAUUGAUUUCAACGCAAGUAUGGUUUUGGAAGGAAAAGAGGCAUUUGAAAUUUUAACAAGUUCUAGUGAUCAAUAAUCAGAGGGUGCAUUCACUUGCUAUUUGAUUUUUUUUCUCAUUCAUAUGCCAAAGAAUGGAGUGUGAUUGACAAUUCUUAAUGUAAAUAAUAUACUGGUUCAGAUGAAACCCCAGCCUGUUAGAGGGUUCUAACACUUGAACGAAUCAAUUGUUCAGCAUACUAACUAUAAGAUACUCUGCUUGAAGAACUUAGCUGACACUAACUCCUUGUUGCUAAAGUUGUGGCCUUGGUUGUCAACCUUGAGAGUUUAGGUAAAUCCAACUUGUACGCUUGACUAAUGAACUUGUAAUAGUUUACAUUCUCAAAUAGUAUUAUUUAAAAGAAAUAUCCUUUUAUUCUAAUUCCUAUAACUGUCAAACAUAACUGUAAAACAUAUCCAUAAUUAUUAUUAUUUAACAUUUCAAAUUAAUAACGGUGUAAAAGUAAUAUAAAAAAAUAUAUUAUACUUAGUUAGCACUGCACUAAUUUGUAGUUUAACAAAAAUAAACCAUAACUGUGCAUUUCGAGGCCAAAACCAUGUGUAAAUCUAGUGUAGUAGGCUAAGUUUGACAAUAAGAGAGUUUACGUGUGGUUUAUUAUGCACUAGCAUUUAUAACUCUGAAAACUGUGCUUGUAGCUGUAGCCUUUGCGGCGAGUGUAUGCAGGCAUGCCUUAGGAUAUGAAAGAGAAUGUUCGUUUUUCAAAAUGUGUCAAAAACUUUGUUGAUGAUGAAUAUAGACUUACUCAAAUUCUCAUGUUGUUACUAAAUGCAUGUAUUUGUUACUGAUUUGUCUUUGUCAAGAUAAUUUUGAGAUUUCUAUAAUCUAGAGCUAAGAAAUGUUCCAGCUAGUUGGUCAUUUUUCAUGUUGUUCUGUUCAUGUGAAUCAAUUGUUGGAAGAGGUCUUCCAUAGAAAUUUAUGGUUUUAUGUUACCAAGGCCAUGUUUGGAUUGAUGGAAAGAGAGUAAAUGGAGUGGGAUGGAAUGGACUAAUAAUAGGUUCCAUUGUUUAGAUUGUUUAAAAUAAUAUGAAAUUGAAUGGAACCUGAUGGAAUGCUUUCCAUUUCAUUCCAUAUGAGGCUUCUCUUUUUCUUACCCUUCAAUUUUGGAGGAUAUGGUAUCAUUGGUAUGGAACCUGCCUUUUUUUUAUUCAUUUCUAUUUCAACAUAAAUUAUCUGGACAAUGAAAUGGUAUUUCAUUCCAUUUUAUUCAAUUCACCAUUUGAUAUUCAAAAAUAGCCCUCUUGGAUGUGGAGUGGGUUUUGGAUGAUUAAUUUUGACAACAAAACUAAUAUCUCAUCCAUGCAUAUAUCAAUGUCAAUAAUUUGUUUAUUGUGUAAUAUGUUCUAUUAUGAGAAAUUCCAUCUAGGCAGAGGAAGUGCAUUAUUUAGUAUGUCUUGCUCAUUACAACUCAGUAAUAUAUGGUCUAAUUUCAGGGAACAUAUCUUCAUCACAAAGAAAUCAAAGCUGCAAUGGGUAUAAAAAUCACUGCCCAGGUGAUAUUGAUUGGUUCUUUUUAUGCCAUUUUUAUCCAAUUGUCUUUCUUAUGCUUAUGAAUGUCUAAGCUUUUGUUUUAUUUUGUGUUUUAUUCAGGGCCUUGAACAUGCCAUUGCCGGCACUGGUUUAUAUGUGGUGAAGCCUGAUGAUGAUUUGGAAGAUGUUAAAGAAUCAGCCAUGGAAGAUAUGCGGUCUGUCAUGAGCAGGAUUGACAGGACUGGUGAGGGUGUUUGUGUACAGGCAUCUACCCUUGGCUCCUUGGAAGCAUUACUGGAGUUUUUGAAAACUCCAGAAGUGAGUAUCCCAGUUAGUGGUAUAAGCAUAGGCCCUGUACAUAAAAAGGAUGUAAUGAAGGCCAGUGUAAUGCUUGAAAAAAAGCGAGAGUAUGCAGCUAUAUUGGCAUUUGAUGUCAAAGUUACUCCUGAGGCUAGGGAAUUGGCAGAUGAAUUGGGAGUGAAGAUAUUUAUUGCUGAUAUCAUUUAUCAUCUGUUUGACCAAUUUAAAGCUUAUAUUGACAACAUUAAGGAGGAGAAAAAGAGAGAAGCUGCUGAUGAGGCAGUCUUCCCAUGUGUUAUGAGUAUCUUACCAAAUUGCAUUUUCAACAAGAAGGACCCAAUUGUUUUGGGAGUUGAUAUCCUUGAAGGCAUUUUAAAGGUAUUAUUUUUUAUUGAUGGUUUUUUAUUUUUUAAUAUGGCUGCAAUGUCUCUGGUGAAUAACAGUUUUCUUGACACAAGGUGCUUUUGGCCAGGAGUAAAUCCUAUAGUUUUAUUUUCGUUUUGGAUCUAUUUGUUACAAAGGAAUGAGCAAUUGUCUGACUUGUUGGAAAAUGGGGAGGUGGAAAUUUUGAAAUGAAAAUUAUUUCACACUUGCUGGUUGUUAGAACAGUAAAAGUAUUGGAAGAGUGAAAGUGGAAUACUCCACCUUAUAAAUUUUGGUCACUGUUUAAUGUGGAAGUGAGCUGAAAGUGACUUUUGACCCUUUACCAAGCAACAGUUAGUAAAUUAAGACUUUUGUAUCCUCCUUGUUUUUCAUUUUCAUCAUCAUUUUUUCACCUACUCAAAUACUAAUAGCCUUAGUCUGUUGAUCACACUUGGAAGACUUUAAGCACUUGAAACUUGAGCUUAAUUUUGUUCCUAUGAUAUUAAAACAAUUGAUUUUAAAAUGGAGUGUUUAAAUUUGGAGAUCUCCACUAUUAAAAUUUUAUGUCUCUAGCUAUGACACAUUAAACUGGUGUUGUCAUAUACACUAGAAUAAACUAAAUGUAGAACUGGAAUAUUGUGCUUGAUCAUAAUUUAUCAGCUGAUUUGAUCAAAAUGCUGGAGAGCUAGAAUUUUUUGUCCAAAUGGUACUUGUUGACGCUAUUGUAUUCCAUCCAAUAAAUCAGUAAUCAUACUCAAAUUAUGUAAAUUCAGGUUUUUUUUUACUCUUACAUUGUGCUUCCCUGUUUUGAUUUUGCACUCAUGUUUUAUCAUUAUUUUUUUUUGUGUUCAUUUUAUAUAUGUUUGCCCUGAUCAAGAUGCUUUACAUAUUUUUCAGUUUUGUCUCUGUGAACCUUAUUCUCUGACCAUUUAAGAUCCUCUUUCGCUUUUGGGUUUAUGAUGUUAACAAUGGUCAUGAUGUGAAGUCAGUCUGUUGUGUGCAAUGCACACAAAUUAAUUGUUUUGAUUUCUUUAAGUUUGCUCCUAAUAUUUGUCUAUUUGAUAGAUUGGGACUCCAAUUUGCAUUCCUUCUAGAGAGUUCAUUGAUAUUGGUCGCAUUGCCUCCAUUGAGAAUAACCAUAAACCUGUUGAUUAUGCAAAGAAGGGACAGAAAGUAGCCAUUAAGGUAUGUUCUUGGACUGAAAUUAGAUCCUCUAUAAUGAACCUCUCUAAACUCAAACUUAUAUCCUUAAGUUGCACAAUGUUAUAAUCCAUUUAUAUCCUUAAAUGAUUUAAGCAAUAGUUUUAUUACAUUGACAAAAUGUCAUAAUCCAUUUAUAUAAUUUUCUAGUUGCUUUGUGUAUUCUUGGUGGCAAUCUUACCCAAUUUGUUUUACAGAUUGUUGGCAGCAAUUCUGAAGAGCAACAAAAAAUGUUCGGGAGGCAUUUUGAGAUUGAUGAUGAACUUGUAAGCCAUAUUUCACGGAGAUCUAUUGAUAUACUCAAAACUAAUUAUCGGGUAAGUUUAUGGUGAUAAGCAUCAUGAGCAACGUGUGUUUAACUGUUUAUGGAUUUAGUUGAAAAUUUGUCUUAAGUUAUAUCUGUUGUUUGAUAUAGGAUGAACUAAAUAUGGAGGAGUGGAGGUUGGUUGUGAAAUUGAAGAAUCUUUUCAAGAUACAAUGACGAGACUUAUGUGUGGGCAUUCAUUUCAGAAAAAAAAAGGUUUUAGUGAAUUUUUGGUUUUAUGCAACACUUUGAAGGAUUUGUUGAGGAUGCUGUUGAAUCCACCACGGGAGACCAUUAAAGAUGAUGCAAUGAUUCAGAUAGAGAUGUCUGUGCCAUGGAGAGGCAAAAGUAAAUUACACAGACGAAACUCCAAUUCUUUGCCAGGUGAGAAGCUCGGGUCAAAAGGGUGCGGAAAAACUGGCAAGGUCCAAAUUUUGUGAAUUACUACCAUUUAUAUACAUAUCUGUGGUAUACAUGGAAGGAAAUAAGGGUUCUAAAUGCAAUUCAGUGAGGAAAAGCAAAUUUUUACGGAAGUAAUUGAUUUGACCAAAACAUUGUUCACUUUUGAUUUCCGAAUUUACUAUUGUACAAAAUUUUUCCAUUUGUGGCUGAAAGGCACUUUAUUUUCCGAUGUAUCCUUUUGGUGUUUCCUACCAAGCAUUUGGUUAUGGAAACUGGUAUUAAUGGCAAAGGUUCAACUAAGCCACGUGGAACCUGAAUUUUUUGUUUUUAUAUUAUAGGACUAACAAAGGUUAGAGUAGGCUUUAAAACUUGGCCUAGAAAAGAGAAAAAAAAAAUGAAUUUAACAGUGGAAUGCCAAAAUAAAAUUUUGUUGUGCGUGUUCGAUACUGAAUUAGUAGUAGAAAAAAAUAUAGCUAAUAAGUGACUAAACAUUUGUAUUUAGUAUUAUUUAAAAAAUAUAAAUAAAUAAACUUAUCAUUUUUUAGAAUAUCUGUUAUUAAAUAAAAUUAUAUUAAAAUUGAGUAAAAAUAUUAACUAUAUCUUUAAUUGAGCAGAUAUUAUCUCUUUAAAGAUAUUAGGCAUAUUAGAAUUCAUUAUCACGAUUUAUUUUUUCUUUUGAGUAACAAUAGUGAUAUAAUUUAUAUUAAAAUACAUAAAUUCAAAAGAGAAAUAGCAAAUGUAAAUUUAUCAUUAAAAUAAAAAUUUAUUAAAAAAUAAAAUAAUUAUUAAUUUAUAAUUUAAUAUAAACAAUUGUAAAUGAAAUUUUUAAUUCAUAUGUGUAGUUUUUUUUUAUAUAAAAUUAAGCAUAUUAAUUUCUAAUUUUUUAUGAGGUUAUUAUUAAAAAAUAUCAAAUUUAUAAAUCAAAUAUUUUCUUAUAAAUUAUUUAUUUCAUAUUUAUUAAGAGAAAAACAGAAAAAUAUAAAAUAAUUAAUCUAACUCAAAUUAUUAAAGAUAUUAUUAAUUUAAUUUUAUAGCACAUAAUUAUAAUAAUGGUUUUGAAGAAAUAAUCAUAAGAAUAUUGUGACUAAUUUUAUACUUGUAUAAUUUUUCACUUAUUAUCAAUAUGAAGUAAGGGAGAAAAAAUAUAAUAAAAUAUAUAUUUUCAUUUUAUUUUUAAGUCUAUUUUUUCUAUAUGAAAAGUAUAAAUUUAAAAAUAUAGUUUUUUGAUACGAAAUUUAAGAAUAUAUGAAUACAUAAUAUAAUAUAAUUAUUAAAUUUCACUGUUUAUUUCAUUUAUUGUUGAUACAGCAUCACAAAUCGAUUCGAGAUAUCUCAAAAUUACAUAUUUAAGAUAAUUAAGAGCUUUUUAUACCGCGAGUUUUGUUGUUAUUUUUAUAAGCAAAGAUAAGUUAAUUUAGAAGGGAGUACAGGGGUACUCCAAACUCACUUUUCAAAGAAAGGCCAAUCAGGCUUUUACAUUUGAGAAAAUACAAGACAAGAUAUCUAUACACCAGUAAAAAAUAAAACAAGACAGCUCCUCUUUUAUCCCCACUAGCAAAUGAAUGUCAAGAACAAACUUUGAAAUCUAAAGUUUUGUUUAGAUCCAAAAGUUUUAAUUAGAUCAUCAAUAUAAUUCAACUUUGAUGAAGCCGUUCAAGGGUGUAAAGUUCUUUCAAUGUCUAUUUUUUUUUUCUGAAAAGAUUCAGACUUUGAAAUCUUAUUUAAAAAAAGAAAAAAAACUAAACUCUUUGUUACUUAGACUAACAGUGUUGUCGAUAUUUAAGCACCACAAACACACAAAUUCUCAUAUAAAUCAUUUAAAUAUGUAAUUUUGAGAUUUACGUUGAUAUAAAGAUAUACAAAUUAAUUAUCUUAUGAUUUUUGUCCUUUUUUUUGUGUGUAAACAAAACAUGCAUGUUAUCCUUUAAAGGAGGGCUCGUACACUGUUUUGAUUAUUAACUGUAUAUAUCUCCUCCACUCACUUUAUCUUCCAAAAGCCCUUGAUAUUUUUAUACAAAAUAAAAAUACAAGUAUAAAAGGUUCAAAUAGACCUAAUGCUAGCUGAUUACCAAGCCAACUUUCUUAUAUCCACGUCUCACCCCACCAUUUAUUGUGAAAAACAAAAAUGAGGCGACCCUGCAAGAGAGAUGAUAAACCUUUUUUUGUCCUAAGAUUCAUAACGGGUUCCAAUGCUGGUAACAUCCAAAAAAGAAAAGACGAUAAAAGGACAUAUAUAGAAUACACUUAAUUGACAUAGGGAUCAAGAUCAAGCUAAAGACCACUUGACCCAAUUAACUUGGUUAGCCCAAAAGUAAUAGCCAUGGCUAGCCAACCCCCAAGCAAGACUCUCACAAUAGACCUAAAUGUUGGAGCCUUACCCAACACUGCCCCCAACCAACCAAACACCACAAGAGCUAAACUCACUGCUCCCAAAACCACACCUAGCCUCACCUUAUAGUCCCUUAUGAAAGAGGCUGCAAGGAGAGGCACCAUUGCACCAACUGAAAAUGCAAGAGCUGAUGCUGCUGCAGCAUGCAUAGGGUUUGGCAAUUUCUCUUUCUCAUCACCAUCAUCAUCUUCCUGAUCUUGAUCUAUACUGUCCCUUUCUUUCUCUCUUUUCAUUUGAGCAACUUCUAUGUCCAAUUGCGAAUACACCGACACAAACUCACCUAUGGCCAUGCUGCAUGCCCCAGCAACUAGCCCUGCAAACCCUGUUAGGAUCAUAACUUUGAUGUCUUGCUUCACUGCUCCCACACCCAUCAUUAGUGAUGCUGUUGAGACCAACCCAUCAUUGGCUCCUAAAACAGCAGCACGUAGCCAUUGAGAUCGCUUUGAGUAGUCAAAGUCCUUCGUUUCAACCUCUAGGGCUUCUUGUGCUCAAGGUCAUUGUUUGGAUGGACAAAUUUGGGUUGGUUGAGGGAUGAGUGAUCUAAUGCCAUGAUAAAAAGGGUGAACGUGUGCUUGAGGAAGAGAUAUCUAAUGGAGGAUGUGAACAACACACGCUAACUAAGAAGGGUAUUUAUUGAUGAAAAUUGCUUAUCUUUGGAGGCAACGGUGUGGGGGCAACCCCACUAAUCAAAAGACAAAUUUUAUAUUCACCAAAUGCAUACGGAAAUUAGUAUGUAUAUAGAGGUUUAAAGUAAAUUAAGCUAAAGUUAGUCCAACUGAUAAGGACUGAUCUCAUAUAUAUCUCACGAAUUUAAAUUCUAUUGUUGAUGUAAAAAGUAAUAGUUAAAUAUUUUUUUGUAAGCAUUGUUUUAAAAGUCUAUUCUAACUUUAGUGAGCUUCUAGGAAUACCAGUUCAAUAAAUUAACCUAAACUUUUUUCACCAAGAGAAUAGUAAAUUAAUUUUGCCUCAUUUAUUAAAUAAUGUAUGAAAAAGAGGGGAAUGAUUGAGGAAGUGUGUCCUGCAAUGGUGACAUUGUUUAAAGUAUGCUAAUGUAACUUUUUUGGGGUGGUCAAAUACGAAAUAAUGUUGUUUUGAAUGUGCAGUCAAGCUGUGUGUAUGUUUUUGCAACUUAUUGAGCCUUUAGAGCCUUAUAGCUUUAAUUAUAGUCAUUAUGAAUUAUGGAAAAGAGAUGUUAUUAUUAGUAAUUGGUUGGUUUUAAUACGUAGUUUAUACAUUCUACACAAAUCCCAUGAUAAUUUUUGUUGUAACUUGGGUUGUAUAAAAUUUGUUUUGGCGGAUAUAAUAAGCAAAUAAAAACAUUACAAAGCAGUCAAAAGCUUUUUGGGUCAUGCCUUGUUGAAGAGAGUCAAUUAGCUAGAUGUGAUGUUAUUCUUCAAUAUACAUUUCAAAAGUUGGAAAAGUAACCAGAUAUAAAAUUUAUAAAAGGAGUUAUCAUGAUUGACAUCCACCAAAUGAAUAUGAACAUUAACCACUUGUACACAUUUGACAGACACACCUAAUGAAGUGGCAGAAAAAUAUUCAUGAAAUUAAUGUAAUAUCACUGCUUUUUUCACCAAAAAGAAGAUAAAGUACCUCUUUCAGAGAUUUCCGAAAUUAUAUCCGUUGAUAAGAUAAAAAGCUAAUAGCAUUUUAGAAUUUAAAUAAUUGAAUCAUAGAAGUGAUAGAAUGAAUAAUUAAUAGAGACCAUCAUAUAUAGAAUUAAAAAAACAUCUAGCAUAAAAACAGCAAUCAAAAUGGGAUGUACACUUGAAGGAAGUUAUACCCGAUCACCAGAAGCUCAUGAGUAUAGUAUGACUCAGAUAAAGGACAAAACGUAAAGAUAACCAAAAUGAUUUUGCUUUUUUUCACACGCUAAAAGAAGAGGGAAAAGCAUAUUAUUGAGGCACCUUUGUUCCUUCAGUUAUAACACUGGGUCUAGUACCACACAAAGAGUUUUGUAUUGCAUUGAAAAACCGAUGAAAGCUAUAUGUGUGCAUCAAAUUUAUUUAAAUUCUUUACGUAUAGUUUCUUUGUAGUUGAUAUAAAAAGGCGAAGGUCAUUUUCUGAGUUUCAGCUGUAAGGAUAUGUGGUAUAUAAGUCGCUUCUAAAUCAUAAGCACUAGAAUUUGCUGGCUAACAGAAUGUAUAGCUUAUAAAAUAAAAAAGAAAAAUCCCGGUAUAUAUAGAAAUGAUUCAACUAAAUAUGCAUAAUACAACUUAUCACGUGUGUUGAAACCAUGCAUGGACCAAUAUCCCUUUGCAAAAAUAUGGCGUUAAAAGGUGGCUAUUAAAAAAAAUGUAAAAACAUUGCCAGCAUAUAUAUAUAGUAGCUCAUUUUUUAUCAGAGAGUAAUUGUUUUUCCAAUUAAAAUCACACGUAAACUUUAUAGAGUGGAGGAGGCAGUGAAGAUCUUGAUGCUAAUAAAUUGUUGCAGCUUGUGCUAUAUUAGGGAAUGUGAACCAUGCUAAUUAGUUAGCUAAAUUUAUAAUUGAUAUAACAUUUCAUGUGUUAGAACCAAGCUAAAAAAUGCAGCUCAAACCAAUAUGGCACACAGUUUAUGCAUGACUUGGGUUUGGGAUUGAAAUUUCUGAUUAUUAUAUCCAAUUUAACUUCCUUUUAAGAAGGAAAAAAUAGCAUCCAACUCGACAUCUUUUUUUGGCCGGCAUGCUGUGACAUGGUCUAUUUGGAUCAUCUGUAACAAUAGUGUUUCAGGGAAUUCCUUUUGCCUUCAAUGGUGUUUUGGAUUUGAUAAGUAGUAGAUUAUGAACAUCUUUCUUUGGCAUGCAGUGGCAAGGUCUAUUUAGAUCACGUGUAACAAUGUUGUGUUUCAGGGAAUUCUUUUUGCCUUCAACGUUAACGGUGUUUUGGACUUGAUAAAUAGUAGAUCAUGGACAUGGUUUAAUGCCAAAAUAGACAAUGCUCAAUGUACUUUCUCUGAUUUGGUGUACUGAUUUUGUAUCUUGUUUUUAUUUAUGUCUCCAAUUUGGCCUUGCUAGAUUAAUGUUCUCUAGUUAGAGUACCUAUUACUCUCUUAAUAAAUUUUUGCUUGUAUAUAAAAAAUGACACUGGAUCAGGUUUGGACCACCUAGAAUAUAACCUAAGUUUUUCCUCAAAAUACACCGAUUCUAAUUUCUUAAAUAUAUUCUCAUCAAAAGUGAUUUUUAAUAAAAUUGAGUUAAUGAAAAGAGACAUAUCAGCACUCCUACUGAAAUGAAAUAUUUUCAAAGAAAACUGAAAACAAAACAGCUAAAAGAUAAGGUAUAUUCUCCUCCAAUUUGGGUAGAUACCACAUAACAGUUCGUACCAUAAUACCAAUCCUUUAGCAUAGAAUAUCACGCAUGUCGAGUUGUUUAUAAUUAGGUAAGAAGAUUUAGUCUAGAAUUAUCAACAAUUUCAAGAGACGAAGUCCUAUAUAGCAUAUACUAGAAAAGAUUUUCAACAAGAUUUUAAUUGAAUUGCAAAUUGAAGUAGCAAUUGCAGUUGUCAUUAGGAUUUUGCAGCUACCACUACUGCAUUUUAUUUUUGUUUUUGGACCAAACGACAGUAUUUGGUCACAUUUGUCUGCAAUCUCAGCGACAGCAAACACAACUAAAUCUUUGCCUAAUUGAAAAUGCAAUUUAUUUAAAACCCAGAUGCUUAUAUAUUUCAAAUAUAAUCAAAAUGAAUGUAUGAUGUUAUAUAUGGCAACGAAACAAAGUAUUGGGCUUUAUCAGCGUAAUAUUAUACUUAGGUAACACGAACAAAAUGAAAUAUGUAUAUAUAUAUAUAUAUAUAUAUGUGUGUGUGUAUAAAUUUUAAAAAUAGAGUAGAAUAAAAUAACAAGUAAUUAAAAUUAUUCUACAUUUUAAUUCUACUGAAAACAGUAAGAUUAUAUUAAAAAGAGCAUAAUAUAACAAGGUAUUUUUUCCGUCCUAUUGAUGUAUCAAAUAUUACUUUAUGGUUCACGAAGCAGUUGAUGACAAGUGGCGCUUUAUUUCAUGAAAAGAAAAGGAGAAAAACAAGUAUGCACGGGAGUUUUUAGUGUGGAAAUAUAUUUUUAGCUUCAACAGUAAUAAUCAAUUACUACAUUUAGCAUGUUCAUCAUUUUUCAUGUUACUAUGGCAAUAAAGCUCAAAGGAAUUUUUUACUCAAACCUUCAGAACUUGAUUAUUUACCAGGUUUAAUUAUUAUAAUUUGUCAUCAUAUCCUAACUUGAGAAACAGAUUGGUAAAUGCAGAAUGAAAAGGCUCAAGAAAGAGCAAAGGAAGAGUGGAUUGCUGAAGAGGAAAGCACUAAUUGCUGUGAUAAAAAGGAAGAGAAGGGAAUUGGAUAAUUUAUAUAAUGGAACAGAUCAUGAGUGUACAUCCUACUCGAAGACCACCAUAUAUAUUGUGCAUUAUUCUCCUGUUCCAAUCAGAGACAGAAACUAGCUGAGUCUUCAUUGUUUGCUCUCCAACAACCUAAAUGCAUUAUUAUUGGCUCACCAACUUGGUUCAUGGAUGAGGGGGAAAAAAUCAAACAAGGUCCACAACACUUUGUCUCGUUAAAGCCCAAUAUACUAAAGUAGGUCUCAGCAAAAAAAAAGGUGGCUACUACUACUUCAAUAGUGACAUCCAUUAACAAAUUGGCGUGGUUCAGUUGAAUUCCUGUCGAAGAAUGGAUUCAAGAUUUUUGGUUAUCUAUGACGAUUCGUUUUCAGCAACUAACUAAUUAAUGAAUUCGGUAACUCCCUAUAGCUUUAUCAUUAAUUUAUUAUUAUUUCUGUAUUAACAAACAGUUCUUCAAACGUAUAUCAACAUAAAAUGUUUGUUGACAAGACAGUAUUUCGUGUUAAUUAAAAUUGUGUUGUGAAUUUAAGUAGAUUUUUUUUUGGAUAUAUCAAAAUAUGUGAAUUAAGUAGAUGAAACACAUAACUAGAUAACAUUGAACUACAGUAUAAGAUUUAUCAAUCACAAUAACAACAAAUAGCUUCUUUUUUUUUGGAGUCAUAUCAUGUCAUUGAUGGAAAGCAUCCAUCAAUUUAACUUAAUAAUUAAUUCUCGUAAAAAAAAAACUUGAUUGAUCAUCUAUAUAGUAAAAUAUGUUCUUCUAAUUUUAUUUUUUAUGAUUAUUUACAAAUCUUGAAUUUAAGAAGUUAUUUAUGAAAUUUAAACUUAGUUUCAUUCGAAAUAAUAAUAUAUUGGUAUAACAGUGAAUUCGUGACAAAAUAGAUAAAAGAAAUAUUUAGAAAUUGAAACAAAAGAUGCAUGUAGGUAAAAUAAAAUUGCAAUUUUCAUCUAAUUAAAUACUUGCUUACAAUUGCCUUAAAACCAUUUGAGUUUGUCUGUUCCUAAAACCAUUUUUGUCAACCAACUUAAGAAUAAUAUUAUGUUUUGUUCUGGUCAAAGAAACGACGUAAACAUGAUUAGCAUUCCAACUAUUUUAAAGGUUAAAUUAAAGCUUAGAUAAAACUAAAGGAAAAAAAGCUAAAAUAAAGACAAUGUGUGUGUGGGUCAAUCUAAAAAAUGAAGAGAAUGUGAUGGUGAAAGAAGAUAGUAGUUAAAUUUCGAAAUUCCAUGAAUAACUUGUUAAAUUCCAAUUGGAACUCUCUUUCUAAUUUGUUUCAAUAAAAGGACCCUAGCUGCACCUUUCAAAUGACAAUCGUGCAUCUAAAGUUUAAGAUUCCUUUCCUUUCUUAGUAGUCGAAAAGAAACCUAAGGCUAUGUUUGGAUUAAUGGAAAGGGAUGGCAUGGAGAGGGAUGGGAUGGAUUAAUUUUAAUGAGCAUUGUUUGGAUUCAGAAAUAAAGAAUGGAAUGGAGUGGAUCGUAAUAUAACUCAUUCCACCCGAUUCCAUUGUUUUUAGCCUUUUAUUUCUUACCUCCCAAAUAGGGUUUGGGAGUACGUGAUGGAAUGGAUCUUACUCUAUCUCUUUUUAUUAUGAAUUUACUAUGUUAUCCUUUUUAACUUCUUCACCGCCAAUGCCCCAAUGUUGAUGUAUGCGACUAACCAGAUAUCUGAACACGUAAAAUCUCGUGAAUAGUACCUCAACGAAGCACUCCUAAAUCAUGUUCAUCAUCUUCUGUUGCCAGAUUUGCCAAAGAAACCUACCGAAAAUGUGACUCAUCCCUCAUGCAAAAGCCCAUUUACCAACUUUCCACCACCUGAUGCAAACAUGGUGAUAUGAGAUCUAAGGAGUCCGAAGGAUUUCUAUAAGAUUAUCACCUUAUAAAUGACACUUAUAUAUCAAAUACAUAACACUCUAUCCUUCAAAAAGUUUUUUCAAAGAAAGUGGAUAGAAUCAUAGAAAGAAAAGAUUUGUAUCAACAGAAAAGAGUACAAAUUGAUUCCAAGGCUAUUAUUUAUAAAAUAAAAUCACCUUAUAAUAAGGGUAAUAUGAAAAUUGGGAAAUUAUAAUUUAUUCUACUUCAUUCUUUUUCCAAAUGAUGAGAUGUGAAAUAUUUGUUCCAUUCUAAUAUAAAUUAUCCAAACAAUGGAAUGGUAUUUUUAACCUAUCUCAUUCUAAUUCAUCCUGUUCCAUUAUAUUUUGAUUCAUUCUGCUUCAUCCUUUAUCACAAAUCCAAACAUAACCUAAUUAUAGAAAUAGACACAGCUGCGUGCAUGAAACACUACGUAAGUGUUAAUAUAUAUACAUACGUGUGUGUGUGUUUAUUUAUCAAAAUGAAAAGUGAUUGAGGUUUUCAAGAGCAUUGCCCUAGAUCGUUGAUUUAAAUAUAGCCCGUAUACGGCCAUACGGCCACAUCUUCUAAUUUUUGGGCGUUCAAAGAAAUUAAUUAACAUCCUCAAGAAUGGAAAUGGAACCGUAAUUGUCCAACUCUUUUAAAAGAAUCAAAAGUUAGAUAAGAAAAGCUCAAAACGAUAAAAAGAUAAAGAGAAUAUGAUGGUGAGAGAUGAAAAUGAAACAUCCCUAGCUCGUUGAAAAGAAAAUUGAUUUGUUUUAUAAAUUCCAUGCAGCACACUACUGAUAUUAAAUAUGAUUUACAUGAUUAAAUUACAAGAAAAAUAGAAAUUAAUUAACUUAAUAGGAUAUUGAUGAUUAAUCUAGCUAUAAUAUGCCCAUUAAAUUUUGUGCGUUUUUUCCGGCUUCCUCUUAGUAGAGGAAUUAACUUUCAAUUUUUAGUGUAUUUGAUAAAUAAUUCAAAGCUUUCUAUUUUUUCUUAAGAAAAAGGCUGAGAGCUUUUUCAAUAGAGCAACCAUGAUAGAAUUACUCAACUCAUUUUCAAUAGAGCUGACCACGUAGAAUAGCAUAACAUUUUGUUGAUGCGGCGGGUUGCAAAGUCCUACCAGAACCGACAAAUAUUUGUUGGUAACACCUUAGAUACGCUAUCAUUUAUAUCUUGUCUGGUGGAUUGAAUCCUAGCCUAAUAUGCAUUCCACGUUGAACCAAAUUAGGUCUUUCAAUUUCAGCAUAGUCCAACUUCAAGAGAGGAUGAAGACUAUCACUAAUGGAUUCAACCCAAAAGUCACUUUGUUUGGAGAAGAUGCACGUACAACAUUCAAUCAAUAGGACCGGAUUAGAUAUAUAUAAACAGAUUUAUAAAAGUACACCCAACUGUUUUUUUAGUUUGAAUAUGUUAGCAAAUUAUUUUUUUGAUGUUAUUAUGUAAACAAAUUAUAAGUAAAGAUUAUAUUUUGUUGGUAAAUAAAAUAACUAGAUAUUAUUUUAAAAUACAUAAAGAGAUUUAUUAAUGUAUAUUCACUUUUUUUAAUACAUUAAUAAAUUAUUACUAGAAAUCAUCUUAAAAUAUAUUUACAGUAUAACUUGCUAUCCAAGGACAGAGCCUUAAAUUUCAUUUGAAGAGAGCCAAGAAAAAAAUGCAUAAUUUAAUAAAAAAAAAUAUUUUUUCAUAUACAUAAAAUAUACAAAAAAGUUUCAUAUAUUAUAUAUCUAAUAUUUAUGAUUUUUUUAAACGUGUGUGUAACUAAUGACUAUAAAUAAAAAAUAUAUAACUAUCACAAACACUCAAUUAAUGACUAAUUUUUUUAUCUAGCUUUUUUCACCGCAUCAUGUUACCUAUUAUAUUUAUUUACACUUUCGUCUCUCCUUCCCUAUGUAUCAACUAAAAAAAUAAUAUAAUAUUAUAUAUUACAAAUUAAUAUUUUUAUUAAAAUAAUAUUAUUUAUAAACAUGUUUUUUACUAGGUUUUUUAGAAGUUCAAAGCUUUACUUACUAAACUAAAAAUGUUUUUUCUUUAAAUAAAACUUAGUCUACCUCUUUUUUCUAAAUAGGCUAGGCCCAAAUAAGCUUUAAAUGAAAACACAACAACAAUAUUAUGAAUAUAAAAAAAUGCAAAAAACAGGGACUAAAUCUAUAUGUUUUUUAGAAUUUAAGAUCAAAUUUAUUGUUGUGAAAAUAUAAGAAUUUUGAUCGUUUGACUUGAAUGUAAUGAUUAAAAACAUAUUUUUUGAAGAAAAAAAUAUUUUUCCAUAAUAAUAAUAUUAAAAAUAUCAGUCGUUACUUUUAGUUAACGAUUACAAUUUCAUAUUUUAUCAUAUCUAAAGUGCAUGAGUGCAUAGUGUUAUUAUUUUAUAAUAUUUGGUUUUGAUUUGACUGUAUUGUGAUGGGUUUCCUUGACAUAAACUCAUUUUUUUGGUAGUGCCUUAACUCAAUCUCAUAUACUAAUAUGUCAAAUUUAAAUGAUGACUACCGUCUAAUUGACACAGACAAAUAGUUACAUAAUUUGAACCAAAAUAUCCAAAUGACUAAAAUAUCAAUUUUAAGUGCUUAGUUUAACUAUGACAUAUUGAGUUUAAAAGCUUUUGCACUCUUAAUCACGGAUUGACAAAAUCAUUUGUCAAGCAUGUUUAAGUAAUCGUAUUAAAGGUGUCAUAUCAUAUCACUUUAUCAGUGAGUUAAAAUUAAGCAUAUAUACCUCAUUUUGCCCAUUUGGCACUACUUGUGCUUUAAUUUCAAUAAAUAUGAUUUGCACCGUGCUAGUUACUUAUGGAAGGGAAAUAUACUACACGAGUUGGGCUGCUCAGGUUGAGUUUCUACGCACUGCAAUAGUUCUCUCAAGAUGAAAAUGCUCCACACAUCGGAAAUGAUGAGUUUCCCUUGUGUAUAAGAGUUCUUAUACACAAUUGAAACCUGUUUCUGUUGUAUUAGUAGGAGGCGUGAAUUCAAAAAUAUACAACGGAAAUGAAUUCAAAAAAUAACACAAUGAAAAUAAGUUUCUAUAUUAAGUUUUUUUUAAUUCUUUUUUCUUAAAAAUAUUCAUACAACAGAAACAUCCGUUGUGUUAAUUUUAGUCAAUGAAACAUGUUUCCACCGGAGGUAUUUUUAGCUAAAUACCAAAAGAUAUUAUUUUCUUUUUACUGGUUUGGGAAUUUAAAUAGCAAUACAGAGGUUGCCAAUAGCAUAUCUGAUCCCUUCUCAAGUGCGUGGGGGUGGCAAUGGCACUUGAAGCCUUAGAAUGGGCUUACGUACGGAGAAAAUGGGUUUUUCGUUUUCCUUGGAUACAUACAAGACUAUAAAGAAGUCACCAGAUCCAAUCUGAAAAAGAAACGCAAUAAUGAAAAUAAGAAAAAGAUUGACACAGUUUCAUAACUAUCUUUUCAUGGAACAAGAGAUCUUAAAUUAAGAGGUCACUUCUCUCAGGAAGAUCAUGUUGGAAUCUCCCAACUUUAUUCUCUCAAGUUGAGAAAAUUAUCUGUCAUCUCUCAUUCUCCUUAUUGACAAUAGCCAAGAUUAUACGUAGUAUUUAUGCAGCACUAUUGCAUAAUAAUGACUGCGUUUUGUGUUCUUUAACGAGUACAGACUCGUUGGAUCACCAUAUUCAAGGCCAUAACGUUUUGAAUCUCUGUCAUCCCUCUCUGUUGUCAUCAUUUGAAGUCAUCAAACCUAUACUUGUUAAUAUCUAUCCAAUGGUUGGUGUGACGUUUGGUUAGCUUUGUACAACACUGGUUGUGUUCAGUUGCUGCUAGUGAAGUUGGCUUAAGAGGUGAGUGAUGAGAGCUUCUAACCUAGAGCUAGCAGUGAGUGUGUGAGAAGAGUGAUUGUUGAAAAAAAUGAGGUGCCAUAUAACUAUAUAAGUGUGUGUUGGCUGUGAGUGAAAAAGACAACUAUUAGCCAGAUACCAUGUGGUGUGUGUAUAUAUUUGGAGAUACAUAAGCCUAGUCUAGUGGCCAAGGAAGAAGAAAAAUGAAGAGAUAUUAUGUCUUUCAAUUUUUUCACUAACAAAAAUUAAUAUUAUUACUGAUUAAAAUUUACCGAUGAAAAACAACUCUGUGGUGUGUGCUGGAGAUAAAAAAAAAAAAAAAGUCAUUAUCUGGACAUGAUAUUAAACACUAAUGCUGCCAGUAAAAUAGUCAAGCAUGAAAACACCAAGUCACGUGGCCUUUAAUUGGCUCAAAAUAGAAUCAAAGAGCUCUCUAUUGCCUUUUGUUUUUUGUUGUUUGUAAUUUUUAAUUUUUAUAAAAAAAAGGUAAAUAAAGUAAAAGAAAUAUUUUUAAUUUUUAAUUCUUUUUAAUUGAUACAAAAGGGAAACGUUCAUUGAAGCAAAUAAAAAAAGGUUUUAAUCAUUUUUUUCAUUCAAGAAAUUAAAUAAAGAUCAAGUGAUAUAAAAAGAGUCAAAUUGGACGUUCACAUUUUUUUUUUGUUUUGAAUGUAAAUAUUUUUUUCCUUUCCUUGAAAUAAUUUUGUUGUUGUAUUUUAUAUAUAGAUUUUCUUCUUUUUAUAUUUUUAUCAUAGACGAAAUUGAGUAAUAGUAAAAAUAAAAAAUAUUUAAUUUUUUUCUCCCUCUUCAUUUAUUGUGGAAUAUUAAUUACUACCCUCUUUUUUCUUAAUCCGACAUCCUGUACGAUUGAACACAUUUUAGACCACACCCUAAUUAACAUAAGUUGCUAGACAAAAUAUUUUUUGUUUUUCAUUUUAAUAUUAUAUAAUUUUUACAAUUCUACUAAUUUAAGUAACUAAAAAGUCAUAAAAAAUAUAUGUAGAAUCAUAAAAAAAGUAACUAAAAAAAAUCCAAUCCUGCAACUCUACAAAGUUGUUUAAAUGGACCCCACAAUUUCUAAAACGUACCUGUUGUUUGGUUGAGCAAUCCACUGUAUUGUUUUUUCAGUUUCUCUUUACAACUGGUAUAUAAGUUACUACAUGAGUUGCUAAUUUAAAAUAGACUAAAUUUUAAUUUUUAUCACUAUCUUUAAUUAUUUUAUGUGAUUUUAGUUUCCAAUUUUUUUUAAAAUUCAUAGUUUUAAUCAAGUUUUCAACUACAUAUUACUGAUGUACACGUUGAUUCAUGAUGUCAGUAUCGUGAUGCGGUAGAAGUUAACAUUUAAUAGUUAGAAAAUAAUUUAAUUAAUUAAAAUGUAAAAAAAAAAGAGUCAUAAUUAAUAACAUAAUAAUAGCUUAUUUUUUUCAUUAAUGACCAUUUAUUUUUUAUGAGUAAACCAUUAAUGACCAUUUAUUCAAAAAAGAGGAUAUAAAAUUUAAUUAAAUAGACAUCUUUAAUUUUUUGAUGUUUUAACGUGCCAAUAAAUACACAAGAUGAAAGCAUUAAUUCCACUCCUUUAAAUAUUUUAUAAAAUCAGCAUUUAAACCUAUAAUUUAUCUUUUAUUUCCAUUUAUCCGUUACAUUUAAUUAUAAUUUGACCUUUUCAAUUAUGAUAAUUUGAUUGUUAGAAAAAAUAAUGACUUAAUAAAGAAGUCACUAUUUUUACUUAUUUAAAUAUGCUAUAAAAAAUAAAAAUUGAUAUUUUAAUCUAUUAAUUUGAUUUUUCAAUUACAAUAAAUUUAUACCGUUGCAAAAACAAAAUAAAAAGCUUGAUAAAAAAGUUAAAUUGAAACAAAAAAGGCAAAUAACCAAAAUAUGGUAAAAAUUUAAAAACAAUCAAAUUAUUUCUAAACAUUUCAAAUUAUUAAAAGAAGCAAUUUUAAACUAUGAUUUAAUAUAUUUUUUUAUUUUUUUUUUAUUUUACUUUUGUCUCUUCUUGUGAUAGACACCCGUUAACUAUUGCUUUUUAAGAACGUACUUGAAGUUGAACAGUACUUCAGUAGUAAACAGUUCAACUUCGGUUUUUGUUCUGAUAUCUCAUCUAAUCUCAACUAAAAUCCAAAUAUCCAAUCCCCAUAAAACAGAUUUUUAUUAUUUUCCACCAAUGGAUCCUGGCUUCGCCGGAGCACCGCCGGGCACGGCGGUGUUCGAUCAGAUUCUGGCCGAGGAACCAGAUAGCUCGUUGCUUCACCGGAACACCUUCUCCGGCGACUCCUUCUCUAUCCCCGACACCUUCGAGGACGUUCUAAACUUUGAUUUAGAACAGUUUGAUUUUGACAUACUAAACUCCCCACCACCGUCGCCGACGCUUCCGCCGACCGUCACCGUUGAUUCAGCUUCCUCCGUGGAAUUAAAAGCGCAGGCCUCGGAGGUCGGCCCGGUAGGGCCCACUGCGGGACUCGACCUCGGCGGAGAGAGGAAGGGGAAGCGGCGUCUCCGGAACAGCUAUACCGUUGGGGCGUAUGGGCCACUGGUAUCUCGGGGGAAGAGGACCAUGAACUCUGAGGAACUUGCUGAACUUGCUAGGGUUGAUCCCAAGAGGGUUAAGAGGUGGUGUUAAUUACAUUUUCAUUUUAAUUAUUUUUUCAAUAAAAUAAUUUAAAAGACUUAACAUGGUAAUUUUAUAAAAUAAAAUAUGAAAUUUACAUAUAAAACUGUUUAAUUUUUCUUAUUUAUAAUCAUUAAUCUUUUAUGUUAAUAAAUUAUCACUAUUUAUUUAUUUUAAAUAUUACAGUUAAAAAUAAUGAAAAUAUAAUAAUUAUUUUUUUUGGAAGUAAUUAAGACCUUUGUUUGAUUGAUUUUUUGAGUGGUAUUUUGUAGACACCCAUCUUCGUCGAACCUCUCGAUCCUCUUCAGCCAAAUUCCUAUAUAUGCAAAUAAUGUUCUGCAACAUCACUUGUUAAAAAUGAAAAGUAUUAAUGAAUAAAAUAGGUUUCGUUUUCAAGGAAAAAGAGUUAGACCAAAUAUUACUUUAAUUAAAUUGGUCUGAAUAAGUUUUUUACUCAUGUGUGGGUGCAUCUGCGCAGCAAAAGUAUUGUAGUCGACCAAAUGGAACACAUGUUUGAGAUUGCUCUUCAAGAAAUAAUACUUCCUUCGUUACUUUUUAUAAGAAAAAAAAUUAAAAUAUAAAUAAAAUUCAACUACUUUUAUCUUAUUAAAUAAGAUUAUAUUUAAAAUAUUUUUCAUUUAAUGGAAGAAUUGUGUUUAAUAUCAAAUUCUAAUGAAAAAUAGUUUAAAAAUAUUAUUAUUUUUAAUUGGGAAUAACACAAUAUAAUGAAAUAAAUUAAUUUUUUAAUAAGUAUGAAAUAACUUAUUUUUUUAUUAUAAAAGAGAUAGAAGGAAAUAGUUUUUAAAAAAAUCAUUUUAUCAUAUGCACUUGGGAAAUAAGUCUUCGGGGUGUGGUGUUCUCAGUGAUAUAAGUUGAAUUGUUUUGUUCUGUAGGAUUCUUUGCAAUAGAAAAUCUGCUGCUAAAUCAAAGGAAAGGAGAGUGAUUUAUGAGAAAGAUUUGCGAGAAAAGGUCCCGCAGCUUGCGAUUCAAUCAGCUAACCUAGAUGCUAAACUUAGAUUUCUUGCGGUAUGUGUUUUCCUUUUCAAUUUUAUUAUGUUUCUAAGCAUAAAUGUGGCAACUUGGGUGUUAACAAUGCUAUAGAGAUUAUUUAACUGAUAAUUAUGAAUUGUGUGGUGGCAAUAACACUUUGUGGAAAACACCCUCGAAAUAGCGAUGCUCUCUUUCUUAGAAAAAGUUGUGAAUUGUGAAUACUUAAAAUUAAAGGUCCAUAGUAUGGUAAUAAACUAAUUAAUAAUUAGAUUGUGCCAAAAACAAACUUAUAAUUAGAUUAAACUAUAAUAUGUUACAUUUUUUUUAGCAAAAUUAUUAAUAAAAUUAUGCUAUUCUAAGAUCGGGAUCUAUGUACUAGAGUGGCAGUGCCUGGGAUCAUAUGAUUACGUAAGGAGGUGAGCAAUAGAAUUAAAAUUUCUCUCUCUUAAAAGUAUUCAAGUAGCCCUAGGCUCCCAAGCAAGGAUGACCAUCGUGUAACUAUUUAUUAGCACAAUGCCUUCCGGUAUCGUGUGUUACAGAAACCUCGUCUCUAAAAUUGUGUCUAUUUAAUUUUUUAUAAACGUUAAGAAACUUUGAUAAUACUUAAACUUUUUAAAGAUCUCCUUUGAAAAAUGAUAGAAACCUACAAAAGCUCAUCAAGCUCCCCUGCAAUUUCUUUUCAACUUGUACAUAUAAAUAUAAAUGAGGUUUAUGUUAUAAAAGAAAACUACAAAAAUGGUAAGAGUAAUUUCACCCCUUACAUUUUGCUCUAAUUAUACAAACCUUCCUUCUAGAUUAAGGAUGUUCUGCUAGGAUUUAGAUGUUGCCUUUGCAAAUUUGCUUUUGAAAAUUCUAUGAUUUUGAUAAUUUCUGACCUAAUAGUUUUUCUUUUUUUUAUUCAUAUUACUUUGAUUUUACCAUCAUUACAAAGUUUUGCGAAUUGAUGUUCAUGUGAAGAUGUAUAUGUUUCACUCUUGAAGAAAAACACUAAUAUGCACUAGUAAAUUAAUGUCUGAAUAUAGAAUACGUUGACUAAGAGUCUAUUUGCAUAUAUACAUUUGUUUAGCCACAAGUUGAAUUAAUAACAUGGCAUGGGGAAAUUUUUUUAAAAAGAAAGUUUAAUAUUACUAGCUAGCUGCAUUGUUAGUUGGUUUAAGUUCUUGCCUCUAUUUGAGAAAUACGGUAUUUAUUUUUGUUUUACAACAGUGACAUUAGCGGUUCAACCUUUCUAGGAUAUAUAGGAAAGAUCAAGGUCAACAUUGUGCUAAUAUAUAUUGUGGAGUUAUAUUUGCUGCCUUUGUUUAUAGAUUAACUGUUCUUAUUAGCUUCGUUGUGGAGCUUGGCUAAUGGCUAUUUUAGAGUCGUCUUUAUUGGAUACUGAUAGAGAUUGGCAUUCUUGGUUCAAUCGAUAUAACUUAAUAGUGAUUUUGAUAUAUAUAUAUAUAUAUAUAAAUUAUCUAACAGUACAAUGAUUCGUUGGGUCUACUAGCUUUCUUUAAUUACUAUCCAAGUUUGUUUAAUUUUUGUGAGAGCAAAUAAUUAAUUAUGUUGAUUUUGUAUAAUAUUUAAUUAUAUUCAAUUUACUACGUACACCUGUAAAAAAAAAAAUGAGAGAGGAACAAACACAUUAAUAUCUCAUAUGAUACAGGAAGACACUACAAAUAGGGAUGUUCGUCUUAAGCAGCUCAGAUUAACCAUAGAUGCUAUGCGACAAGAAGCGCAGAUUAAAGAUGGUAUGCAUGGUUUUAUAUUUGUUUAUGCCUAAAGUAGCAAACUUUGUGCUUUCCCUCGUAUCACAUUAAACUGCAUAAAUAAAAUUUUCUAUCUUUACACGUCUCGGUUGCAUGAACAAUAUCAUGAAUUAAUAUCUGCAUCUGUAUCAAUUAUGUCCUUUCCCUCGCAUCACAUUAAACUGAAUAAAUAAAAGGUUUUACAAUUACACUACUUGUUGCAUGAACAAUAUAUAUGCAUGUGUAACAAUUAUCACUUUCCCAGAAAAUCCCAACAAUCUAAGCAUGCAUGAAAUUAAAUAACCUUUUAAGUUCAUAGGAGAACUUGUUAAAUAACCUUUUUGGUAGUUACAUUAGCUUGUAAUUUUGCACCAGUUUGGACAUUUAUUUAGCCUUUGUUGCUAAUUUAUAAAUUUGGUACAUUCAUAUUAUCAUGAACACAAUCUUGUGCUUGCAGCUCUCUCUGCAUCGGUAAAGGAAGAACUUCGAAGCCUCCGUAGGAAUAAACAUGGUCAUGUUGGUGUUAUGUCAAGUUGUGGUUCUGUGGACGAGUUGACCUCUCAAUUUUCUUCACAGUUGGCUCUACAAAAGUUUCAUAAUCAUCCGUCGUCGUCUCAGAAACAUCUAGACCUUCCUCAGCAAACACAGCUCUCCAUGCCUAAUCCUCUUCCUUACUCUACUACUCAGAGUUUUAGUGGGCAAUAUGGCCCUAAUAACUACUUCUCCAACUUCAAUCAGCAAAACUAGUUCAUUAUAGCAGGCAGCAUGAAACGAUAUCACAAGUAUCAUCUUGUGUAUAUGUUUGUAAUGCAGGAGAGCUGUGAAGGAUAUCAUUGUGUUGUUCAGCGUCUUUGUUGGUACUUAUGUUUUACUGUUUCAGGCUAGAUAGCCUAAUUCUUGUGCUUUUCCUGCAUUAAUUUUAAGGUUAAAACCAGAACUCAUUUUUUAUUUUCAGUUAAUUAUGUGGUGAAAACAGUUGAACAUGAAGAUGUUGAAGUAUAAGUUGAUGAUGCAUGGGGGGUGAAUGCAAGCUGUAUUCAUUGAGUUAUCACUUUGUAGCUUCUGAAGUUACAUGAUAUCAAACUUUGGAUUUUGUGAAAGAAAUUUAAUGGAAGAAAAAUGCAUCUUUAGUGUAUGUCAUAUGUUUUGCAGAUGUGUGUCCCCUCGUAUGAGCGAAAUCGUGUUAUGGUUAUUAUCUUAAGUAUAACCUUUUACACCCGAUCUUUACUCCCUUUGAUCUUUCUCACUUCACCAACAACGGCUCACAGAACCAUUAACACACCACCAUCAACAUCAAACCUCCAUAAAACGAAAAGGCCAUUGAGUACUUUUCCUCACUCAUUUACCCUCGGACCUUUAAAUUUCUCUCUCUCUUUCUCACAUAUAAUGUUAACACACUCAUAUCUUAUCAGCACACAUGAUCUUCCGGUUCUUAAUUUGUCCUUAAGUUAUCUCCACAAUCCACUUAGGAUUCACUUAUCCUCUCAUUUGUCCUUCAGAGGAUUUAAGAAACAUUCAGGAGAUGAAUUUAAAACAUGUAGGUCAAUCGGGACGACAAUGAAAACCCAAAUCAUCAGCCACAGACGAAGAGUAGCUGGCGGGGCAUGAUGGAGGGCUCAGCUUGACAAAGGAGCUAGGGGGUAAUUCGGGAAAAGAUAGAAAAAUGAAAAAGAAGAAAAACUAAUUAAAAGAAAAAUUCUCAUCCAUUGACUUAAAAAUAAAAACAAACAACCGUUGGAGACCUAUAACACUUUUUCAUUGUAGUCUUCUUCAUCUUUCAUAGUAACACAUUAAAGGAGUGGAAGAUUAAUAUCUUAAAUAUUAUCAUAUACUAAAUAAGAAACACUUCUUAACGACAUUUCUUAUACACAAAUUAUAAAAUAAAAAUUCAGAUCACAUGCUUAAAAGACUAUAAUUAAGUCCCUUCAUUUAUACCAAGAUUACAUUUAUAAUUACUUAAUAGAUUCUCUAUCAUGAUAGUGAACGGUGCAUUGAACAGACACAAUUUCUAGAACCAAUGUCAUUUGCAAUGCACAGAGGUUGAAGUUGUCCAUCUUCAAACCAAAAGGAUCGCUUUUUACGAAACUCACCACCAAAGGAGUCCAACAUUUCAAUGGUAAUGUGUUGCAUCACCACUACAUGUGCAAUAUUCCCAUUGCAUGCCAAAUUCCACCUACGAAUAAAGUCAUCAUCUAGAGGCCUCUCAAAGAUGACAAUGUCGCUAAACUUGUUUAACAUUGUACUAAUUUGAGCAUCACGUAGUCGAUUUUGUAAAUACCGUGCUUUCAUUAUGCAUUUUUGCACUUCGUUUUGGAGUCCUAUAUAUCAAACCUCUUUUUUUCAAGGCAUACCAAAGAAAUAUUGGAGCAUGCCCACAACGGCUACCUGUGAUUGUGGCAUCCCUUGAAGCAAUAAUUUCAACAUUUUUAGACAAUGCAUUGAUGUAUUCUAAACGAGUUAUUGCAAUACCACAAGGAAUUGGGCAUCCCAAGAACUUAUGGCCAGAAACAGUCACACUUCCAAUAGGUUUCUUGAAGGUAAUCCUUGGUGCCUGUGAAAUCACCCACAAUAUUUUAGAUGAGAUCAUAAUUAAUUAGUGUCUUAGCUUGGAUGCUUUGGUCUCUACACAUCGGACCUUCAUAGCAUCUCCAUUAAUACCUAAGCACACAUCAAAGCAAUGUUAUAGAUAAACAAAUAAGUGACUUUAAACUCACUUGCUUGACAAAAGGCAACAUCAUUCCAAAUAGAGCUCCAUCACAAUGAAUGUAGAACCGAUCACGAGUGAAACCACAUUCCUCAAGCGUUUGUAUUACAAGAUCAAGGUCAUCAAUAGCUCCUUUCAUAGUCGUCCCUACAAUAACAUACUGGUUCUAAGUUUGGUAUAUAUGUCUACAUUUGUAAAAAAGUUUGUGCAUGAGAGCUCGUUUAAAUUAACAGUAACUAGUCAAAGACAAAAAGGGACCUAUGUUUAAAUUGAUAAUGGCUGGCUUGUCUUUGUGUGUAAGAACUAAAUCCUUCAGAUUAACACAAUCAAUCUCACCGGAGGUUAAUGUGCUAACCUUCAUGCACUUCAUUCGAUACAUUCUAGCUAUUUUGAAGAUUGAAUAAUGUGAAUCUUGUGAGGUAUAUAAUAUCCCAUCAGGAAGUUGUUCUCUCCUGUAUAUAAAGAAAAGGAUAUAAAUCAAAGUUUGUGUCUUGGAUAUAUUUUUGAAAUAUCAAAGAAAUGGAAUCAAAUUCAACAAAACUGACCCCACUAAAAUUCCGUGAAGAUUGCCUUCAGUUCCUCCAGUUGUGACGUAUCCCCAAUACUCAUUCUUCUUUAUCUCCCACAGAUUUGUAAACCAAUUAAGCACACAAACUUCAAAAGUUGUUGAAUUUAGGGAGAAGCUGCUCCCUAGCUAGAAAUGGAUCACCAGCAUUGUUUGGGUGAAAAUGAAAUAAUGGUUUUAUUGCAUCAGAGUUGAAGUCCUGAUUAGUAGGAUAGCCUGCAAUUGAAAUUCAUGAAUGUCAUUAGCAUUUAGCAGAGUCGAUCUGUCAUAGUAUUACAAGGAAAUAAGGAUCCCAUGCAGAGUUACCCCAUCUAUAAAUAGUUAUGGUUUUCCUAAUCAUUGUUUUAAUUGCUAAUAGUAGUUUAAAAUUUUAAUAAGUAAAAAGUUUUUUUUAAAAAAAAAAACUACAUGUGUCAUUCAUUGGAAGCACACAUAAUUAAAAGAAAAUUAAAAGCGCAAGCUGUAGUGAUUUAGAGUUUCCAGGUAUUGAGCAAUAACUGAAGCUAAAUUGGCUUGUGUCUCGCCACUACACUGUGUGAUAGCAAGGUUCGUAUGACUAUUGUCAUUCUCAUAUUUUUCACUUCUAGUAGUGAGCUUAGCACCCAUGAAAGCAAUUGCCAUGUUCUUCUCCAUUGCGUUUGUAAUAUGCGUGCAUGUCUGAGAUCUAGGGAAGGAGAAGUGUGAGCCACUUAAAGGUUUGAAUGUGUAUUUAUAGAAUAUUGCAUUCGUAAUUAAUUUGAAGAUAGGUCAUCACUGCAUGUACACACAGAAUACCACGGUACACGUACACAAAACCAAAACCAAAAGCGUCAACACGCACGUACAUAUAAAAAACGUGCUAAAACUAAAACCCAAACAUAAGACAACAGCCGACAAGAAAUUUUGACGUGAAAAAAGGUGUUAAAUUAUCAAGAAUUUUGCUAAAAUAGUACUGGCUAUUAUCUGUCAUUUUUUUUAUGCGAGUAUUUGUCAAACACUUUUUAAUAUAUUUAAAAAUUAUUUAUUUGUUAUGACUUUUAGUUAUAUAAAAAACAUUUAUUUAAUGCAAUGAACAAAGUAAAAUAUUAGUUUAAUGAAAAUAUUGAUACUCUUUCUCUUCUCUUUCAUUCCUAUAUUUCUCUCAUUAAAAAAUCCUUAAAAUCUACAUUUUUUCUAUUUUUGCUUCUAUUUAAAUUCUUUCUUUUUAUUUUUUUCUCUUAUGAUUUUCUUUUUGAAUCAAAUAAAGAAUAGUGCCCUACCUGUUUAAAGAUUGAUAUAGAGACUUCAUCAAUCUCGCUUCAUGUCGUACAUGCAAGUAUUGCAACUGAUGUGUCGUCAAAUACUAUGGAAUAGUCAGCAUAACUUCUAUAAUUUGUCACAACUUUCUUUUUAUUACAAAAGUCAAACAUUUAAUUUGUGCUUCAGUUCGUGAGUUGUUCUUGACUUGGCUACAGUAGAAGUAAUCAAUUAUGAAACCAAAACAUUAUUUCAAACAAAUUAAAUCUUUUCGAUGCAUAAUUUGAAUAUAUAUUCUUAAUUUGAUAACUUUAUCUUAUUUUUAUUUUGAAUAAAUUGCAAUAACUACUCAUUAAAUUUUGUGAAAUUACAUAAAUAUUUUUCUUUAUUUCUAGACUAACCCCUUUUAAUUUUUAAAAAAUAUAUACCGACACCCUUUUAAACACUACAUUAACUUUCCUUAAUUGUUUAACAAUAUUACACGUAAUUGAUUAUGCAAAUAAAAGUUUUUUGUCAAAUCUUCAUAAAACUAUAUUACAAACAAAAUAAUUAUUUACAUUUGGUGAUAUAGUCAUUUCAUGACAGUAUAUGAAACAAAACAUAACUAUCGCAUUAUCUAAUCAUAUAAAAGUUGUAGCAUUACAUGAAAUGAAAUAAGUUGUGAAUGUGUUUGGUUGUGAUGUGUCAUUUAAUAUGGGUAAGAAAUUGUGGUUUAUUUUCAAGGGAAAAAAAAACAUUAACAAUGAUACGUUUGUUAAGGAGUGAGUUGACCGAGGAAACCUAUAAACUUCUGGUCAUUGUCGGCAUGCAGGGAGACAUUUUGUGUUUAUCUUGGGGUGGGUUUUUUAAGCUGGUGCCAUUAUGAGGAAGACUUUGGUGUUAUUGUAUGUUUCUACCAAGCAUGGUUUUAAAUAGUAAGCUGUAUUUUUUCUUUAAGUGCCUACAAUGUAAAAGUUUAAUUUCUGGCUCAUCACACUGCAAUCGCGACAGCAAUCAGAAUUUAAAAUCAUGUAGCAAGGGUCAAGCAUUGAAUAUGAGGGACUGGUGCUGCUUUAUUCAAGUGGUGUGACAAGGCUACUAAGGGCAAUUCAUAAAUUAAAGCAAAAUCAUCUUGGAACGCUGGCGAUCCAGAACCCAAGGAAGCGGAGCCUGGAGACACAUCUGCAAGGCAUCCAAUGGGUCAUUGAACUUGGAUUAUAGAAUAAGUUGUGUUUGAGCUUGAUUGUAAAAGUGUCGUUGAUGGCAUUUUGGCAAACUCUACUGAUUUUUCUUAUUUUCAUGUUAUUCUAUCUAAAGUGCAGAGAGCUGAUCUCUUACCUUUUUCAAACUCAAUUGUGUAAACAGAAAAGUAAUGGCUGUAUUAUUUCUUUCAUUUUCAGUUGGGUGGGUGUGACGAGAUGUUAAUUGAAAAGAUGUCUGCAGUCUGUAUAAAAUAUUCAAAAAACUACUCAUACGUGGUAAAAGUGAUAAUGGCGAUCUGUACUGUAUUUUGUUUGUCACUCAAUAAACAUAUAUAAAAUUAGUGGCCGGGGUAUUUAUUGUUAAUCUCUAUUUCUUUUAAGUGACCUCAAGGUGAUGGUACACAAAACAGAACGAAACGAAGUAUAAUAAAAGAAAACAUGAUAUUAUUAUUUAACAUAUAUACUGUGUUUAGUUAAUUAUAAAAUGAUACAAAAUUUAAUGUUGUCCUAUAUAAUAAAUUUGUUCCACUAACGUUGUCCUAUAUAUGUAUUUAGUUUGGUACUUAUUAAAUGAAAUAUUAUGUUAUUUUUAAUUAUAUAAAACAAUUUUAAAUCUUCUUACAAUUUCUCUUUGCUAAAUUUCUUAAUUGUUAAAUAAAGUACUAUUUUUUUAUAUUUUAAUACAUUAAUUAUUAUUUUUUUCAUUGAGCGCUUUUUCUACAAAGUGAUAAAAUAAUAUAGAAGAGUCUAACAACAUUACUAAUAUGUCAUUUAAUAAAUAAUAAUCAUCAUUAUAAUAAUUUUUAAAAAUAUAAUUAUUAAAAUAUUUUCUUGUGAGGUCAGUUCUCCAAUUCCUUGGAUUUGUUGAACUACUUCACCGCACACCAUCAGAGAGGCUGCAUUCCCGCUCAUCAUGAGAACCAACUUCAAACCCUUAUGAUGUGAGUCACGUACGUAUCAAACCUCUAUCCACAACCCUACAUUGUCAAAUGCCCAUGCAAUGAGCAAACCCUAUUACCCUCACCCUCACCAGACACGUACAUCCUCUCUCCAUCAUACACGAACACAUUCAUUAAGUGUUAUUAAACUCGACCAAGGUACUGGAUCACUAGAUUAGGAAUCCAUCCAAUGAAUAAGUAAUUAAUCUACACUCCAAUUUAUUAAUUCAGUUAUAAGUAUGUAAUCAACAUUAAAAAAUUCAAAUAUUAUAUAGAUCAAAUAAAUAUAAUUAUAUUUUUUUUUAACCUCUAGUUGUAAGGAACAUAGAUAAAAUUAUUGAGAUUUUGAUGCUCCAACCUGUUUCUUUUUGUUGAAUGAAUAUAUUCAAAUACACUUUAAUUUCGCUCACAACCCAAAAAAACUUUAAGUUUGACUUAAGAUAUGGAUAACUACCUUUUACAAAUGUGGUGCACCAUAUCCAUAAUCCUCCCACCAUUGAUCUACAAUAUUGGAUUAAUAAAAUAAAUAAAGAUUAUGGAUCACAAAUAAUGAAAGUUAUAAAUAACUAAUGUUACCUAGUAUCAUUGUAUUUCUUUCACAUACACAGCAGAUUAUCUUUCAAAAUCUACCUCAACAUUUUUGUAUAAUGUCAUUUCACUUGUCAAAUGAGAAUUCGACUCAAAAUCUACAUGAGAAUACUUCUCAAGAACUUCAUAAAAUGCACUUGUUAUGUUGAUAUGAUUUUUAAGAUCAUUAAAGUGAUAAACAUGAUUUAACCAAUAACCAGCAACAUGAAUUUGCUACAUUAUUUGUGACUAUAUGGACAAUAUUUUUAGGGCCAACAUACAACACCAUAUCCCUCAAAAGUUUUACAUAAAUUUUCAGGAGUUUUAGAAGCAGUAGAAGCAUCCACGAACUUUAGAAAAACAAUACCUUUAGGACAAUAAACCAAAAAGUUGAUUAGAGUCCACCUGCAUCUGUCAGUCCACCCAUCAUCUAUCACAAGAAUACAACUAGUUCGCUUCCAAAUCUCACGGUACUUCUCAAUAACUUUCUUCACUUCAUCAACUCAUUUAUUUAACAAAAAACCACAAACACUAUAAAAAUUUGGACCUUAUAUCCUGGGCCCAUGCUGCAAAAUGCAUCAACCAUAGGCUGGUAAUAUGUUGUGUAAACUGCAUUGAAAGGCACAUAAGCAUCAAUCAUCCAUCUUCAAAGGCAAUGUCACACUUUUCUACCACCUUUUUGCUUUGCAAGACACUUUUUAAGGUUGGUUGAGCUCCAGCAGUGGUUAUUGGAACAAAAUAAUCACCAAUGCGGUUGGAAUUAUUCCCCCUUUGAGAUGUAAGAGGUGUUGCUCUUAAUGGAGGAUCAUCAGACACUCUCAAAGAAUCUUCAUCAAAUGCAACAUCAUUCUCGUCAUCAGCUUCUUGGGUUUUUAUUUUCUUGGUCUUAUUCUCAUCCAUGUUUUGUUUCAUUUGAAAAGAAAUAUGACAGCUUGUCCCUUUUCUCCAACCAAGUGAGCCUUCAAUCUAUUAAUUCCACCUCCUUUAAUAACAUUAUUACAAUAAAGACACAUUAGAAAUUUUUUGUUAUUUUCCCCAACAAUUCAGUUGUUUGCAAUUUGCCCAAGCCAAAUUAGUUUUCCCUCGAUGCUUUGAGCCUUGAGUUGAUGCUUCUUGUGAUGAUGGUUGUUCAGGUUCAGGAGUUGACAUCUCUACUGUAUAAAUGAACUUGCUAUGUUACUUAUAAUGUACAACCUUACUAAAAUAGUGAUGUUCUAUAUUCUGGAAAUAAAAAUAGUAAGUAGACAAUCUGAAUUCAAAACUUUCCAUUUUGUUUUCAAACAUCAAUAUUACUCAGAAGUUCAAAACCACUGCACAAUUUAAAACUAAACACAUAACAUAAAAAUACAAUACAUUAUACAUAUUUGGAUUUGAAAAGAGCAGUCACAUACAUAAGGAUUCAAAGUGCACCAAACAUGAAUGUUCAACAGAGGGAUUCAAAGUUUCAAACAGAACACAUAUGGGAGAAUAGAAGGGGGUUUGAACUUUGAACAAAGCAAAGCAUAGAAGUGCUAACAUGUUUUCUGGAAGUGUUUGAGGGUGUUGACGACGAUGGAGGCUCCUGCUGGUGCGAGGAGCGAUGACAUUGCAGGGUCGAGGUCGAGGGGCAGUGGUGAGCGAUGACUCUGUUGGGAGAAGGUGUCUUCGCCUCUUUGAGGUCGAGGGACUGAGCAAAGGUGAAGGGGGUUGUGCGACUCUUCGAGAGAGACAAAUUAGGGAAGUUCUAAUUUUUGUUUCUCCAAUUGGGUUACUGUGACCCACCGGUGUGGGUCACUGGUUGAGGCCGAGUCGCACCUUUUCAUGUGCAAAAAGGGUCUAAAUAGGUGGCUCAGACCGAUUUUAGGUGUUCAAUUCUCAGACCAGUGGAUCAAUCCAACCGAUUCGAACUGAGUUUAUACAUGCAAUAUUUCUUCUCUCAUGCAUGUACAUUACUCAACACGUACACGGUUUCAUUUAUCCUUUUCUUUUUCUUACACUAGUAAACCAUCUUCACUCUCUAUGAGAGCGAGCAUACACAUCUACACAAGCGAAACAUACACAUGCAAUACACACUUCUCUCUUCAUGAUCUCCUCAUAGUUAUAAUAAUUUAUUAUAUGGUUGCUUUUAAGAAUUGAGACAUGUUAAAAGCUGAGGACCUGAACCUUAAUUAACUAGUGUACGUACGUAGGCAUGUCUCCUUUUGAACUGCUUAAUAAAUUAAUCUAUACAUCACAUAUUCCCAUUAUAUAUGUUUAGAUUGAGCAUAAUGGAAUAUUCAAUACGCUAUGACCGGAGCAUUUUCCACUGGGAAGAAAGCGGGCUCUGAACAUUAAUCUAUAUGCAUAUACUUCAAUCUUGGAAACCAAUUUUAUAUUGAUUUUCCCUAAUCUUGAUGAUUCUUACAUUCUUGUUCUUUGUUCUUAAUGUUUGAUUUUAUUCUCAUUAUUCUUUCCCCAAUAUAAAAAUCUAUUUCUUCGAUCUUUUUUAACUUUUAUUAUUGAAUCACAAUAAAUUAAUUAUUAUAAAUCAUAAAUUUUACGAAAGAACGAUAUUUUUAUUAUUUAACAAUGUUGUACACUUACAUUAAUAUAUCAACCAGUUGAUGGGUUGAGUCACCAAAUUGACAUCAAUUUUUGCAAGUUAGGCAGGUUCCAACCCAGCCAUUUUGCAAAUCCUAAACAAUUAUAACAUCACAUAUGUAUUAUUUAGUUAACAGAUUCUCAAUCGUGACAUUGAAUUGUGUGCAUUGAACAACCACAAUUUCCCGAACCAAUGUCUUUUGCAAUGCAUACAUGUUGAAAUUGUUCGUCUUCGAACCAAAUGGAUCGUUUUUGAAGAAAUUCAGCAACAAAUGAGUCCAACAUUUCAAUGGUAACAUGUUGCAUCACUACCACAUGUGCAAUAUUUCCUUUGCAUGCCAAAUUCCACCUACGAGUAAACUCUUCAUCUAGAGGCCUCUUAAAGACAACAGUGCUACUAAACCUGUUUAACAUUGCACCAAUGCCUGCAUUACGUAGUCGACUUUGUAAAUAGUGUGCAUUCAUUAUGCAUUUACGCACUUCGUUUUGAAGUCCUAUAAGACCUUUUCUUUUGAUGGCGUACCAAAGGAAAAUUGGAGCAUGCCCGCAACGGCUACCUGUGAUUGUAACAUCUCUUGAACCAAUAUAUUCAACAUCUCUUGAUAAUGCAUUGAUGUAUCGUAAACGAGUUAUUACAAUACCACAAGGAAUUGGACAUCCUAAGAACUUAUGGCCAGAAAUAGCCACACUUCCAAUGGGUUUCUCGAAGGUAAUCCUAGGUGCCUGUACAAUAACAAGCAAUAUUUUAGAUAACAUCAUAAUUAAUAAUUUGUAAAUGUUUGUGUUUGUGUAUAAAUAGUGAAUAAUGAAUAAGAGGAAAAAAGAUUUAAAUAUGUUUGAGAUCUAUAAUAAAUGAUGAAUUUUUGUUUUGAAUUUUUGAUAAAAAAUUUCAUUAUAUUAAAUUUUUGAUAUAAUAUUAUAAUAUUUUUUAUUUUAAGUCUUUGUCUUCAGUUAUUGAUAAUGUAAUAUCUUACAAAUAAAUUUUUUCAAAAUAUAUUAAUUAUUGAGAUAAUGUCAUAUCAUCACUAAUCUGAUGACAUGAAUUCAAAAUAAAAGUUUUGAUAUAUUAAAAUAAAAGUUUUGAUAUAUUAAAGAUCAAAUUCAAUAAAAAAUUUAUUAAGGAUUUAAAAUAAAAAUUAUUUAUUUAUAAGGGACCUUGAAUAUAUUUAAGCCUAUAAAAAAGAAUAAUAUACAAAAGAUAAAUUUCUAAAUUAGUUGGAGAACAAAACAAAAUAUAAAAUAAGGGAAAGAUUUUAUUUCAAAAUCCAAGCCAUAUUUCAAAGUAAUCUGUCUCAACAUAGAUCUGUAUAUUCUCCACAUAUCCAAUUUACCUCCCCAACAACUCCCAUUUCCUAAUCAUACUAUAUAUCAAAGAGAAGCUUUUUAUGUAACAUAUAUGUUAAAAACUUACUUGUUCAACAAAAGGCAACAUCAUUCCAAAUAGAGCUCCAUCACAAUGAAUGUAGAAUCGAUCACGUGUGAAACCACACUCUUGAAGUGUUUGUAUUACAAGAUCAAGGUCAUCAACUCCUCCUUUCAUAGUUGUCCCUGAAACAAGAACCAUAUUUAUGUUUCUCCAAGUGUCUAUAAAUUUUAUGUAAAAAGUGUGUGCUAUUAUUAGUUAUUAUAUAUGUGGGUAGUUGUCGAAGGAUACCUAUGUUUAGAUUGAUUAUGGCUGGCUUGUCCUUGUGAGCAAGAAGUAAAGCCUUUAAAUCAACACAAUUAAUCUCGCCAGAGACCAAAGUGCUAACCUUCAUGCACUGCAUUCGAUACAUUCUUGCUAUUUUGAAGAUUGAAUAGUGUGAAUCUUGUGAGGUAUAUAAAAUCCCAUCCGGAAGUUGUUCUCUCCUAUAUAAAGAUAGAAAUCGAUGUUUGUGUUUAGUAUAUAUUUUGAAGCAUCAAAGGAGUCUAGAAAUUAUAUCAAAUACUAACCCUACUAAAAUUCCAUGAAGAUUUCCUUCGGUUCCACCGGUUGUGACGUAUCCCCAAUACUUAUUCUUCUCUAUCUCCCACAGAUUUGCAAACCAAUCAAGCACACACACUUCAAAUCUUGUUGAAUUUAGGGAGAAGCUGCUUCCUAGGAAUGGAUCACCGGCAUUGUUCAAAUGAAAAUGAAGCAACGAUGCUAAUGUGUCAUAGUUGAAGUUUUGAUUAGUGGGGUAGCCUAAAGUACAUGAAAGUCGAUCAUUAGUACAGUCUUGCAUGGUAAGAAGAAGAGAUUUCAUGGAAAUAGAUAAAAGAAAAAUAAUAUUGUUAUAAAAAGAGAGAGAGAGAAAAAAAAGUUUGAACUGAGUUUAAAAAUAAGUAUCAAAAUAUCAGAACUAUUAUAUAUUAUAAAUUAUUAAAUUUAGUAUUAAACUAACUUUGAUAUUUCCAUGCGUGUCAAUUAUUUUCACAUUGUAUAUCUUACCUUCUAUUAUAAAAUAUUUCUUUUACUUGCUGAGAUUGCAUUAUUAAGAAUGGAUAAGGAUGUGAAACAGAUUAUGACAAUGAAACAAUUUUCAAAGUAAAAACGCCAAAACCAAAAGCAUACCUAAGUUGCGCAAGCUGUACUGAUUUAGAGUCUCGACAUAGUGAGUAAUAACUGAAGCCAAAUUGGCUUGUGUCUCGCCACUGCACUUGGUGAUAGCAAGGUUCUCUUUAAUAUCUAUCGGCAGAUUCUCUUCUUUUCUAGAGAAAUUGGCAUUGCUGACAACUUUCGAUGACAACAGCUCCGUGGCAUGAGUUCUUGGAAUUAUGAAAUCCAUUGCCAUGUUCUUCCCCGCUGAAUUCUCCAUUUGUAUAUUGUAAUUUGUAAUAUGUGUAUCCGAGAGUGAUAUAUAUGCAGAAUGUGUAGUGAAAGACACAAAGGCUGUGAAUAUGUAUUUAUAGCCAGAAAAUCAAAGCUGUGAAUGUGCAUAACGCGUGUAUUUUCCACUUGGUGGAAUUGUAUUAUUAAUUUAUUUAUUUCAUUUUCAGUUGGGGUGGGGGGAAUUAAUGGUGAAUCAAAAGAUGUCUGCAUAAAAAAUUGAAAAAUAAAAUGUAUUAAAAGUAAAAUGAAAUACGACACUCAGGAAUAAAAUGUAUCUUUUUAUCAAUCUGCCUGCCGUUCUCAACAGCCUUAUACUCUCAUGCAGUAGCGGAAUUGGGAAAAAGUCUCUGAGAGGAUCAUUUUUGGGGGCGUUUGGAAACGCGUCUCGAUCCACAAGAUAAUUAAAAUCACGUUUGGUAAGGUGGAUAGCGGGCUUGGUAUUUGACACGUACGAUAGAGUGGUUAGAUUAUGUGUAUGGAGUUUUGUUAGAACAAUGACAAAGAGGUGGAACGUUCCUAUAUGCAUGCAUGGGGUGGAGGAAUUUUCAUCUUUAAUUUGGCUGGUAAAUAAGUACUAUAGUGUAGUUGAAUUGGUGGUACAGCUGGUUCAUUUAUAGUGGGCUAAUAAUUUAUUUGCUAGCUAUAGUAUCAGGUUAAGUUAUAUUUAUGUGCUAUAUAUCUCUGUGAAUUAAUAUUUGGUGACCCUCUUUGAUCGAGGCCGUUUUUGGCCUCUGGUUGUACCAGAAUUUGGUACCACUGCUACCUUUUCACAUUGUUAUAUAAUAUCAUUAUUUAUCUCGAUGAAAAAAAAGAGAUAAAAUCACGUCAAUUUCUACUUAGAUGUAUGUAUGUAUAAUGUAGCCCAUGUUUGAAACUGGGUCACCAACUUACAAAAACCACGUCAAUCUGCAUCCUUUUAUGAAGAAGCUUCAAGUUUGACGUGGAAAACCACGUUGGUAAAAGCUACUGUGUAGACUGCGCAGCUUUGGUUAAGAUGUGUGUGUAUUUCAGAUGUUUGACGCCAGGAACCGACCUAGGAUGAGUUAACUGGGGGGGGGGGGCGGAAUUUUUUCAAAAUACUUAAUAAAUAUAUAAAUCUUAAAUUUUAUAAAUUUAUUUUUAUAAACCCCUCCGUAACAAAAUUUAUAUAAACAUUUAUUUAUAAUUAAGUGCUUUUCAAAACAAAUCAAGAACAUUUGGGCCUCGCUACACCUGUUCAUAUUUUAGCUGGCAUAUAUGGAUGCCUCUUUAGCAUAAAGAAGUAAGAGGUUAAUGGGCUGCAGUUUGGGCCAUUUUGAGGAAUGCAUGACCUUUCCAGUACUAUUGCCACUGCCCAUGUGAGUAUAUGCACCCAAGUCUUCGAACCAUAUAGAUAACGGGUUUUUUUUAUAAAAAAAAAUUGCAAGUAUUAUUAAUUCUUUACGUUAAGAUUUUGAUUUUUAAUUUAAAUUGUUAUAACUAACUUUUUAUAUUUAAAAUAUUUAUAUAUUUUAGUGUAAUAGAUUUUAACUUAAAAAAUUAUGUUGAAUUUUUUUAAUUUAACUUUAUAUAUUUUUUAUUUUUUUAAAAAUCAUAUUAAUAUUUGGAUUCACAAACUGGUUUGUCUAUAUGUGAACUUUUGUGAACCCAAUAUGUAUUUUAAAAAAAUUAUUUAUUUUACGGAUCAAACUUAUUCAACCCGUAUAUAUACUCAUCCCUAAUUAUGUUACAAAAUAAAAAUGAAAAAAUAUAAUUUCACAAGGCUUAACAAUGAGAAUAAUAAUUCCCAUUUUCCAACUCAAAUUAUAAAAUAAAAAACAAACUGCAAUAUCGGAUUCACACUAACAACAAGAGAGAAAAAUUCAUUCUCAAUACAUUCAUAUAUAAAUGCCCAGUCCAAGUGAAACCAAGUUUAUAUAUUUUAAAUAAAAUUUCGAGUUUUAUUUUAAAAAAAAAUAGUUUUGAGUCUAAAUAUUAUAAAUAAAAAUAUAUAAUUAAAAUAAAUUUCACUAAAAACAAUUAGAUUAAUUUUUCAUCAAAACUUUUAAAUGCUUUGCACCUAUAUAUAACUGUAAAAAAAUAUCAAUACAUUAUUUUCACAUUAGUAUUUUUAUUAAAUAUUAAAUUAACAGGUAAACUAUAAUUACCUAAUUAAAUUUUUGUGGGAGUCAAAUUAACAGAAGAAAAAAAUAAAGAUGCUGAAUUUGUGAAAUUAAGAUAAUAAAGAGACCUGCAAUUUGGAAAGGAACUAAGUAAAAAAAAAAUCUUAAGUAAGGAAUUGAGUAACAUCAAACAUUCAAACGCACGUUCACAUAGUCACACGUCAAUUCAGCUGCAUGGCUCGAGCUACUCAUCAAACGCCACGUAUUGCGAAAAAAGUUGGCACGUGCUAAAAAUCAACCGGCCGGCCAGUUUCUUAUGCGUUUGCGUCUUUUCAGCGUGACCCAUCCUUUUCGUCAUCAUGUUAUAUGUUCAAGUAGUAAAUGUUAUUUAGACACUGUUUGUUUCAAGUUAAAUAAAUGAAAAGGAAAUAUUCAUAAUAAAAAAAAUACUAGUACUUAGAUUCCUAUGUUUAACUUGAGGAAAUAAUGAAAAAGGAUAAUUUAUUUUUGGAUUCAUAAGGGAAAAAAUCAUUCAAAUUGGCAUGCGAUAGAAAAUAAGUUUUUUUUUAUGGUAGAAAAGAAGAUUUCUAGACAAUCUAUAUCACUACUUUUUUAUAUAAGUAUUUUUUAAAAACAGGUAACUUUAAAUGUUUGAAAAAUUAUAGAAUUAUCGAACAUUAGAUAUAUGAAUAUCUCUUCAUAAAAAUUUAAAUAUCGGUUCAUUAUAUUAUAAGAGGUUGCUCCCUUAUUAUUAUAAUUAUAAUCCAUAAUAAAUAAUCAUUUUUUAAAUUAUAAAUUAUAUUAUAAUAAAAAAUUAUAAUACAAAUAUUUUUAAAUAUAUAAAUUAUAUUUUGAUUUUUUGAUAAAUAAUUUUAAUUUUUUAAUAAUGUUAUUUAAAAUUGAAACAGAUUGAUAAACAAUUAAGAAAAGUAAGUAUAAAAACAAAUAAAGAUAAAUAAAUGUUAUUUUGUGAUGAUUGGGAAUUUUUCUUUGUCUAGUUUUGUUUUUUAAAAAAAAGUAUGUGAUAUGCAUCUCCAAAAUACAGGAGAUAGAGCAACGAAAAAUUAUAAUUAAGAGAGUUAGGUGAAUAAGAACUUCACUCUCUAAAUCAACAAUUCUAUUUUUUUUCCUUUUUUGAAGAGGGAGGGGGGAUGAAUGAGAAAUAUAUUCAAAGUCUAGAAACACCUAAGAGGCAAGAAGGUUAUUUCUUAUAAGCAUAAUAUGGCCUUAAGGAGAUAAAUUCAAAACUACAUCAAAUAUAUGUUUAGAAAGAACCAUGGCUAAUUCAUACUUGAUAAAGACAUCAACAACUUAAUUAGUCACUUUUAACAUGUAUUGUCAAACUAUAUGACUCAUGUAUUGAUGAUUUCAAUGACUUACUUUAACCAAGUUAUAACAAGAAUGCAAAUGACAACAUUCAUUGACCAAUAAUCUAACCAUCAUCAAAGAAUUCGAAUAAAACAACAAUCAUACAAAAAAUCAUAGUUAAAUCUUCUGCCUUGAGUUAAAGGCCCUAGAUGAACAAAAAGCCUUGUCAAACACUACAUGAAUGAUUUGGAUUCUAAUUUCCAAUAUAAGAAUAUUUGUUUAUUUAAUUUUGUUUUUAUUUCAUUUCUUGUUGAAAACAAAAUAUUUAAAGCCUACACUUUAUCAUAAGUCUAUUACAUGAUGGUAUGUCAUAGUGAUUUGAAAUUCAUUUUGGGUGUGUUUAGUUUAAAGGAUGGAGAUAAAAAAAAGAUGAAAAUAGAAAAAAAUGAAUUAAAAUAGAAUAUAAAAAAUGUGAGUUUCACAAAAAAAAUACACAAUUUCUCUCCAAUAUUCUUUCUCUCUUUUCUAUUAAACUUACCAUUAACAUUGAUUUAUGAAUGCAACACAUUAAAAAAAUAAAAGAAAACUAGUAUUUAAGAGAAUUUUCAAUUACAUGUCUCGUUUUAAUUUAGAUAUAGAAAACAAGACAUGAGAGGUGAAAGUGAUUUCAAUUCAUUUGUAAAAGCAAUAUAUAAAAUUAACUUAGUGCACAAGAUUAUAAUUCUUUUUUAAAAAAUUGAACACUUUUCAACAUUGAAGCCUAGGUCAUUGCUCUUUCGGCCCAAGCAUAAGAGGCCAAUCUUGUUUUUGUUUGUUUAGAUAACUAGUUAAAUAUCUCAUGUCUUAUACGAGUAUUAAUUUUAUAAUUUAUAUUUUUUUAUAUUAUUAUAUAUUUUUUUAUGUAAUUAAUUAUUAUAUUUUGACUAACAAAAAUAUAUUAUUAUUAUGUUAGUAUUUAAAAAAUAUUUAAUUGGUUUUCAUUAUUUAUCAUUAUAAUAAAUAUUUGUAACUAUUUUAUAAAAUCAUGAUAGUAUUUUUUUUAUAAUAAUUAAAGGAAAAUGUAUUAGCGUUAAUUAAAUUUAAAUUUAAAUUUAAUUUAGAAUCCAUAUAUAUUUAUGGUAUUAAUUAAUUUGAAGUAGAAAAUAUAAUUAUUUAUUAGUUAGAAUAUUCUAAUAAGAAAAAUAUUAAGGAACAUUUUUCCUCUAAUAAUGAUUGGUUACUACAAUUAGAAUAAUUAUCAUAAUUAAACUAAAUAUAUAUAUAUAUAUAUAUAUAUAUAUAUUAGUGUUAUUGAUUAAGUUUAAUUAUAUUACUAGUUAGAAUCUUUUAAUAAUUAUAAUUUAAUGAGAAUGAAUAUGAAACAUUUAAUCAUGUGAAAGAAUCUUCUUUUAUACUAUCUCCUAUCAUUUUUAUAUAUAAGAAAUAAGAUAAAUCAUAAUUUAAAUAAAAAAUGCUAAUAUCCAUUCUAGUUAGAAUCUAUUAACAUUCAAUACAAAAAUAUUUGAAGUAUAAAAUUGUUGAUUGUUUUGUUUUUUAAAAUUUAAUUCAAUGAUACUAUCGUAUUUUAUGAUUUAAUUUUUUAAAAACUCUAUCUCACAUUUUUUUUUCAUGUUUCUCUCAUAUAUAUAGAGAGAUAUUUGUUAUUUUAUUUUAUAAGUUAAAUAAUAAAGCAUAAUAAUGUUAUUAAAUUAAAAUUUAAAAAUAAAAGAUUCAAUAAUUUUUUUAGUCUAGAUAUUUUUGGACUGAAUGCUAAUGUAUAUGAAUAUUAAUAUUUUUUAAAUAAUGAUUAAAAUAUAUUUUCAUCCUUAUAAAUACUAAAAUAUUUAUGACUUGUAAUCAGAUUUAUAAGAUUCGAUUCUACAUGUUAAUAAUUUAGUAUAUCACAGGUGAAGAAUGUAACAUUAACCCGUAAGAUUGAAUAUUUCGAAUUCAAUUUUCUAAGAUAUCACACAUCUAUAUUUUUUACCAGGACAAAAGAAACAUACUUAAAAUUUGACAAUAUUUUGAUAUUUAUAACUUUAAAUAAUGUAAUAUUGUUUACUUGAUUUUAUUAUCCAAUAUAAAUAUAAAUUGUUUCUCCGUUGUUUGGUUUUGUUUUGGUCGGAAACAAUGAAUGAGAGGAUUAGCGAAACGCAGCGUGAGAGGAACGACAUCCCCAAUCCAAUUCAAUUACUAGCUGCCUUUUUCUUUUCCUAAAAUCUCGCCUUUUUCGCUUCCGUGUCCCUGCUCAGCGGCAAGGCAACUUCACUUUGGACCAAAUUACCCUCCAUCUCCCUUCAAAUCACACCGAACCCUUCCCUUCCCUUUUUCCACUCAGAUUCUCUCCCCCCACUCCACAGUCAACUCCAUGUGCGCUUGAAUGGAUUUGGUGGAAGGCGUCGGAGAGAGUUCCUCGCCGCCGCGCGCCUUCAGCGGCUACAGCAACUACGACGUCCGCAACGAUGUCUACAACCGCCUUCUUCAAACCGGCCACGACCAAGCCGUUUCCAACCCCGACUUCCGCGAACACUUGGAGGCUCACUUCAAUCGCUUGCCACCGAGGUACUACUUUCUUUCACUCUCUUCUUCUUCUUCCUUUCUAUUUUUUGGAUUAGGCCUCACUUUCAAUUAUUUCUAGGAAUGAAGUGUGUAAUAAUCUGUUGCUGCUUUUUGUUUGUUUGUUCCAGUUAUGGACUCGAUGUGAAUAUCGAUAGAGCUGAAGAUGUUCUGUUGCAUCAAUCCCUUCUUGCUUUGGCAAAGGACCCUCACAAGCGCCCUGUAUACCAUAUACGCUUCCUUGAGGUACUAUUCUUCCUUACUUUGCUGUUGCUAACUCCAUUUCAACUAGCUUAGGAUCAUUCCGGAUUCAUUUUAAUUAGAUUCAAUUCCCAUCAUUUCUGUUUAUGUAUUUCGAUUUCGAAUAGGAUUUUUAUGAUUGGUCAUGUUUGGAUAAGCUUCUCGGUAAACACGUUAUAGGAAAAGUGUUGGAGUGUAGGUGAAAGGUGAAGUCUCACGUUGAGUAGAAAUGAGAAAUUUGAACACCAUAUAAGUGAUAUAAGUGAGGAGAAGACCCAUAAACCUGAGUCUUCUUAAGGUUUUGAGUUAAAGUGUGGUAUCAGUUCGCUUGUAUGGUGUGCUCGAGGUCUAUGGGUGUAAAUCUCCCCGGUGUUUAUCCCGAUGCACAACAAAAAGAAUUCUAUCAUAUUUCUUUCAGUUUUUCAUGUCUAUCAAAUUUACUUCUUCUCUCGAUUUGCUGGGCAGAAUAUUUCAACUAGAACAGAUAGUGAAGAUCAACAAAUUUUAAGUACUCAUUAUAGCCCAGGAUCAUCUUCCCAUGCAACAAAUGGGGGAGCUGUAUCACCUGGUAAAAGGUAUGCUAUCCAGCGAACAGUGAAAUAUACUAUAUAUGUAUGCACAAGCAUUUUACAGGAAGGUUUCUGGUAACUGUUACUUAAAAUAUCAAUUCUGUAUCUUUGUAAUUUAUUAUUUAUUUAUGCAAUGUAAUAUAAUUAUAUAAUUUCCAUCAGUAAGAUGAGGGAUAUUGCAAAUGAGUUUGAGCCUUGCUCGAAGCUUGAGGACCUAAAUUUGGAUGUUAGAAAGAACUCAAAGGAGACAGAGGAAAAAUUUCUCUCUGACAAUUUUUUCCAGAGGUACCACCUGAAUAAAGUUACAAUGCUGUUUCUUACUUUUCUUUUAGUUUUUGAAAUAGCAGUGUGACAACUUUUGUUAAAACCGGUAGCCAUGGCUGCAAAUUUUUUCUCUUUGGAGAGCAGGAAAGUAGACUUCUAUCUGUUGCCAAAAUUUAUGUUCCAAACAUUUAUUUUUAUGAAUGCGUGUAUCUUUCCACAUUUGAAAUUGAAGUAGUACACUGUACACCACUUGCACGCCAAAUGUUACCUGAAUAUCUUUUCUUGUGGUAAGUAAGUUAAACAUUGCAAUUUAAAAUGCAGGCUUGAACAUUCAAGUGUCCCCGUUCAUGAAAUAAUAUUUUCCACUGUUGACAAGCCAAAGCUGUUAAGCCAGGUAUGUUUGAAGAGUUUAUCUUAUCUGUUGUUUUUUGUUAAAACUUAUAUCUGUUGUUCUUAAAAUAAUAUAUGUUGGAGGAAGUUGUCAAGAGAGGUUUCAGGCUAAGCAAUUUGAUUUUUAACUGUGCCAAAUGGCAUAAUGUGAUCCAUGCAACUGACCUCACUUAGUAGGAUAAGGCUUUGUUGUAAAUUAAUUGAAAGUUUGAAACUCCCAGAGAUAAUGAGCUAAAAUUUUUCAAUCUACUUAGGUCAUGAUAUAUAGGUUUAUUUUCCUCAGUAUCAACUUAAUGAAACAAAAACUUUCCUCAAAAUUAGAAGGUAUUUAAUAACUAGAGAUUUAUUAAGCAGUUUUGGAGUGUGUUGUCAACUUUUCAUAUGAAGCAUAGAUAAAGUGAAGCCAAUAGAAGCUAUAUGAAAGACUAUAUGGAAUAUUGGAUACCAAUGUUAUAAUGCAUAGUUUUGUUGUAUCAUUGUUUUCUGGAUACUGACUAGUGAUUUGUAUUAUUGUAUAUGUUAUUCCUGUAUUCAUACAUAAUCCAAAAACAUUAUGUAAAAAAUAGUUUGAGGGUGUAAACUGAAUAACUGGAGUGGAUUUUACGUAAGAUCUUGAGAGUGGAAAUCAGGGCAUUCUCUUGUAUGAAGUGUAUAUGUAGCUUCAUUCUGUUGAUAUAAUCAAGUGCGAGGUUCUAGUUUGUUAAUGCCUGACAAUAUAAUUGAUGGAUAGUGGAUUGCUUUUUGACGGAUAUUAUUUUCUUUUAGCUGUCCGCUUUGCUGUCUGAUAUUGGACUUAACAUCCGUGAAGCUCAUGUUUUCUCCACAACUGAUGGCUAUUCCCUUGACGUGUUUGUGGUGGAUGGAUGGCCAGUAGAGGUACACUGCUGCUUAUUGUGAUGCUAUUUGCUUUCCCCCAAAGACCUCUGCAAAGUUGUAUCUUUGAAAGCUGUCAUUUCAUUAAUGUUAAUUUUACAAUGGCAUUUGUGUUAUUGGCAUGUUGCAAACACUUCAUAACUGUUAAUUGAUUAUAAUUUUGUACUUGGUGGUUGAACUCUACUACAAUUAUCUGAGCUUUGAUUUGAUGGCAGAUUAGGUAAGAUGACAAUUAUUGAUACCCACAAAGGUUGUUGCAGCUGCAUUUUUUUUAUAAAGAAAAUAUUUUCUUAUCACAGUUUUUAAUUCAGACAAAAAAUGGUCUAUAUCGGGAGUCAAGCUUGUAGGUUAUUAAGAUUAAGAUUUAAGGGGCACUGUUAUUAUAUUUCUCUUAUGACAGGGAUGUGUGCUGAGUCCAAAUGUUGCUGACUUUGCAAUCUUGUGCUCAGGAAACAGAUGAUUUGUAUGAUGCUAUGGAAAAAGCUGUAUCAAGAAGCGAGGUGCAUUGUGUCCUUGACUUUGUAUCUACACAUUCAUAUGUUGGUUUUGUGUGAGAUGGAAUUAUAUCUCUGAAGAAUGAAUGAAUAAUUCUUGUAUUUCCUGGAAUGUAGUUUAGUAACGCGUACUUAUAAGAUUGUAAUCAAUAUUCUUCCUUUCUCUAGGGAUCAUGGUCUCGUUCUUUAAAAUCUCAUUCAGCUGUGGAGAAAGCCUUAGCAACAGAAGGAAAAUCAGGAGAUUGGGAAAUAGAUAGGAAGUUGCUAAAGUUAGGAGAAAAAAUAGCAUCUGGAUCCUCUGGAGAUUUGUGAGUUGUGUUGUUUUACCAUUAAUUGUUUGUGUAUUUCUUUUAACUUGAUUUUCUUUCUCUUCCCUAUCGUAAUAUAUAUCUUGUUUUUAAUUUGCUUUAUGAUUCAUACUCAGGUAUCGUGGAGUUUAUCUCGGUGAAGAUGUUGCUGUUAAGGUUCUGAGAUCGGAGCAAUUGAAUGAUGCCUUAGAGGAUGAGUUUGCUCAAGAAGUGGCAAUUCUGAGGUCAGUACUUGGCUGUUUGGAGGUUAAGACCAUACUGCAUAUCAUAAUAUGUUUUUGCAAUUAAUCUUUCUUAUGAAUUCACUUUCUAAAUGAUUAUCAAACAUUUUUUCUUGUGUUGUACAGUUGAAUUUGUUGAGCAAUUAUUAUGUUCUCUUUUUCUUGAGGAAUAUAUAUUUAAAUUGAAAUAUCAACUCUAGUACCAACUACCAAGUUUUAAGAAGUGGUUAAGCAUGACAAAAUUAUCAGUCUCAGUAAAUUGCUUAGUUGGCUUCAUCCUUGCAUCUGUUUACUUGGUUCUUGAGGGAUUGGAUGUCUGUAUGCUAGAAACUUUUGACAAAUGAUGUCAGUUGUAGCAUCCUUACAACUGCUUAUUUCUCAAUUGAUGUUUUCUAAGCUGGGAUUUCUCAUCUACUAAGUUUUAUCCUGCCAUUGCUUUUGUUUAUAUUAAUUACAGUCUUGCAAGGAUUUGCUUAUACAUCUUUAGGACAUAAAUUUAAAGAUAAAAUGUAUCACUCACUUUCUCAUUUAGGUUCUGUCAAUAUGCUUUUUUCUUUCCUGAAAAUCUUUUGACAAUUUGACUUCUGCAUUUCUGAAUGCAGGCAGGUGCAUCAUAAAAAUGUUGUUCGUUUCAUUGGUGCAUGUACAAAGUGUCCACAUUUGUGCAUAAUAACAGGUAUAAAUCAAUCCAUUUGGUUCUGCAGAUAUAUUGUCAUAUAUUAUCCUAUUUAAUGUGGAAACAAUAAGCUAUCCUUAUUAAACGAUGUUUUAUGUUUCUAAAGAUUAUUACAAUCUCAUCCCUUAAGUUUGAGGUUCAAAACAAGAAAAAUAGAUACCAUGUCCGCCUGGCCCUUUCUAAUAGAACAAUGAUUGCUGAGGAAGAACUAUUGGUAGGACUUUUUAUUUAUGAGUUAGUUUCACAAUAAUGUUUAUCAGAAUAUUUUAGUCAAUUAUCAGAAAAAAUGGUAUGUGAUGACAGUUAAUUGACACAAGUAAAAAAAUUAUAAAUAAAAAAAGAAAUUCUAGAGAGCACCAUGUGUGAAGUUCUAUGAAACAUUUGAACGCCAUAUAUAAGGGGAAUUGCUAAGUGCUAACCUCCACACAUUCAUGGGUAGAUUAGCAUUCUCCACAUUUUUAGACUAAAAACUUUGCCAACCAAAUUUUAAAAAGUGAAUAAUGAUACCAUUUUAUUUGUUUUGAAAUUCAAUUAAUAUUUUAGCUUCUUUGUUACUACAAAUUUCUUUCACCUAUUUUCUCUCAAUAGUUAUUAUUUGUUUGUAUCAUCUCUCCUUUGUCAGUAUUACUAUCUCAUUUGUACCAGAAAGAAAAGGCUGAGGUUUAGUAAAAUGGGAAAGAUGUUAAUUUGUGUGUGUAUAUAUAAAUGUAUGUAUGUAUUGUGUACAUACAUAAAUACAUAAUAUGAUUGAAUAUUAUAAAAAUUUAAAAAUUAAUUUAUUUUGAUUAUUACUAUCUCAUUUUGAAUAUUAAGUUUGUAUUGAUAUAAAGUUAAAACGUUGAUAAUUAUAAAUGCUUAUUUUUACAGAUUACUUUUCUAUUAUAAUUCUGAAUUAAUUACAAAUCAUUUCUAUACUUGUUCCGUUUUUAAUAUUGGGCAGUAUGCAUUUUAGUCAAAACUAUUCUUUAGUUGUAAACAAUAUUUUCUCUUAUUAAAUAAAUAAAUUGUGCUUUGUUUAAUGUAGUCAUUAUCAAUUGUCAAUUCAUUAUUUAUUAAAUACAUGGAGUUUUUUGCAAUUUUAAAUAUUUAUAUUUCUUGUACUAUAUACUUGCUUAUGCAUCCAAAGCUUGUGGUCUGGACUUAUUUAGCUUAAAGUGCAGUAGUUGUUUUUGCAAGACCGUCAAUGUUAGACUUGUUUUCUUAAACACAAAAAUGGUUUGAUCAGAUAUACAAUUAGUCCUAUACUGGUGUGUGUAACUAUCUUGUAGGAGUUACGAAUUGGAUCUUUACAAGUUUAAGUGUUUUCUGUCUUAAAUGUCUAGUGCCUUUUGGUUCUAAGUAGUAUGGUUUUUCUUCUGAUCACUUGACCUUGUGCUAAUAUGUUCAUCAUUUAGUACUUUUCAGGGGAUUUAUUAGCUCAAAACAAUGGUCAUCGCAACAUUUUCAAUGUGACUAUGCAAAUCAAUGUUACGGGACUUAGAAGGUUUCUAAAUGUCAUGCAAAUUGUUCCUCCAUUGUUGUAAUUAUGGGAUUGUGGAUCCCAUGUCUAAGGCAAUCUUCCUCUAUAGCUGUUUUAUGAUAUCAAGAAAAGUUGUUUGAAAAUCAAGUUAAAAAACAUCCAUUUCACCAAUUCAUGUCAUUAGAUAUUAAUAUCUUGUGGAUAAAAUGUUCCUUAAUGUUUGGGUGUCAAGCUUAGGAUUAUUUUCCUAUGUGCCUGUGUCACUGCAAAUGUAUUAUCCAUUGUUUGUUGAUUCUGGACUAGUUCACUUCAUUGCUAUUGUUCAUCUACUCUAGUGAACUCAACCUACUAAAUGAUUUGGGAUUUAAAUUCCUCCUAAUGAUGUUGGAUGCAAAACUAAAUUAGUUAAAUAAACUUGCUACAUCAAUCUCUAUUUCCCUCCUUUUGAAAGAUUGCCUAACUGAAUCUACUCAGUCUCAUGAUGCACCAUUAUGCUGAUGGUGUUAUAUGUCAUCAUUCAUUUUUCCAACUUGUGAUGCUUCUUCUAGACCUUGUGUCUUCAAGUAUUUGGAAGAAUGCUUUAGUUCAAAUAAUUAAAUUCAUAUAAUCUUGGGAACACGUAAAUUGAUUACUUAAAAGCUGGUCUCCUCUCCUGUUUAUUGUUCAACUUGUCUUUUCUUUUGAAUUUAUUCUAUCAAAAUAUUUUUUAAAGUUUGUGCUCUUCUUUGCAGAGUAUAUGCCCGGAGGAAGUCUGUACGAUUACGUGCACAAAAAUCAUAAUGUCUUGGAGCUGUCUCAAUUACUAAAAUUUGCAAUUGAUGUCUGCAAGGGUAUGGAGUAUUUGCAUCAAAGCAAUAUAAUUCACAGAGAUCUGAAGACGGCUAAUUUGCUGAUGGAUACACACAAUGUAAGAAUUUAUUGAAAGUUUGAAACUACUAAUUUUCUACUCUACAACAUCACCCAUACUAAAAUGGGUGUUACCUUGUAUGGAAGCAUCAUUAAUGAACCAGAUAUUUGCUAUUAUCUUUGUUUGUGUGUAUUUUUAACCAAUAAAUUCAUUUCAGUUGUAAUUGUGUGACAAAUUAUCCACAGGUUUUCUGAAUAAUUCACUGAAGUAUGAAUGUAUGAUAAAUAAUAAAACUUUUAUAAUAAACUGUAAUACAAAGGUUUAAUUGACAUUAUGAUUCACCCAAUGCUCAUGACAAAUAGCAUACGUUGAAAAUGUGAUAUGAAAGUAGCAAAUGCUAAAACUUUCAGAAACAAUGGAUAAUGGUUUAUUUUUUUUCAAUGAACUGUUGUUGCCACUGCUGGAUCUUUUAAAUUUUCUUGAUGUGACUGACAAUAACAUUUAUUUUGUUUUGGAGUUGCAUUUUAAAAUUUUUUUAUCAUUAAGUUUUUAAUAUUUUUUCCUUUUCCAAUUAUUGUUAUCCAAUUAGGUUGUUAAAGUCGCAGAUUUUGGAGUUGCUCGGUUCCUAAAUCAAGGGGGAGUGAUGACAGCAGAAACUGGGACAUAUAGAUGGAUGGCACCAGAGGUUCGUUACUUGAAAAGAAAAAGACAAAAUAUACUGUUGUGCUUUUUUAUAUUUUCAUAUCAAUGUUAAUGUCUAAGUAAUAGAUUUUGUAAAGCUAAGGGUGCUGGGCUAUUAAUAAUUAAUAUUGGUAUGUUUACCUAUCUGUUACCUUUUUUAUUAAGCUUUUGUUGUUUAUUAUAAGAAGAGAUUUUAUUAGGGGGAAGAGGAGGUCCCAAAGAAUGAAAAAAAUAAACAUUUAAGAAAAUUCAUUUAUUAAUAUAAAAGAGCUCUCUAAUUUCUCUGAAAAUAUGUUAAUGAGAUUCCCUGGAUCAAAGAAACCUUGCCAUGUGGUCAGCACUCAGCACCAAAGUGAGAACAUAAACACAAUCCUAUCUAAUAAUAAUAAAUAAUAAAUAUAUACACGUAUAUCUCCUUGGUGUCCAGAAUACACGUAUAUCUCCUUGGUGUCCAGAAUACACGUAUAUCUCCUUGGUGUCCAGAAUACACGUAUAUCUCCUUGCUCAAAACUCUCCCACCCUGGGUUCAGCAACAGGCCAAAAUCCUUAUUCCUAACAAAGUGUCAUCUGGGUUCAGCAAUUUCUGAAUUAGCCAAGUAGGAGAAAAUAUGAUGCUGUUUUACUAGCCAUCUUUAACAAUUUCAGCUUUAAUCAUAAUGCCCAUGAUAGUCAUUUUACUUUCUCUUCGUUUUUGUUAAAUUGAGUAUAUUAUUCUUUUUUUUUUUUAAAGUUCGAAGAAGUCCAUUAUGAAAAGAGAAAGAGGUUUAAAAUCGACACAUUGAUUCCUUUUUUGCUUAUAUGAUUUUUGGUGAACUGUAUGCAUCAAAAAGUGCAUGUACGGCUCUAAAGGAAAAAAAUCAAAUCCUAAUCAAUCGACUUUAUCGAGAAAGAUUACUUUUUUUAGGUCAAGAGGUUGAUAGUGAAAUAUUGAAUCAACUAAUUAGUCUUAUGGUAUAUCUUAGUAUAGAAGAAGAGAAUAAAGAUUUGUAUCUGUUUAUAAAUUCUCCAGGGGGUGGGUAAUACCUCAUUUUACUUUCUCUCCGUUUUUGUUCUGCCUAAACCUAAGAUAGAACGAAAAGAAACAGGCAGAAGAAAUGAACAUUCGAAAUCUCUUUUGUAUGGAUUUCUCACCAGCACUAGGCGUAAUUGCCAUGUGUUAUUUUUAUUUUGUUCAGGUUUUACUUUAAGUAUCUUACUGUUAAUGGAUUUUUUCACAAGGUUAUAAAUCAUCAGCCCUAUGAUCAGAAAGCAGACGUAUUCAGUUUUUCCAUCGUACUGUGGGAAUUAGUGACGGCAAAGGUAAAUAGCUCGAAAUGGAUUAUAAUAUUGUAUUCUCUUAUCAUAUUCCUUUACCGUUCCUUGAACUGUAUGAUUUUUUAUAUAUCAAGGGAAUUGUUGUAAAAAUAUUUAUAUUUUUUCAUCUUGUAUUUCAGGUACCAUAUGACACCAUGACUCCACUACAAGCUGCCUUGGGUGUGAGACAGGUUUGCUAUUUAUUUAUCAUUAUGAUUUAAAUGUUAAGGCAUACAUAAAUUAUUGCUCUAUUUGACAAUUGACAGUUAACUUUUGUUUGUAGCUUCAAUAUGUCUGACAAAUAAAACUUGGGUAUAGGAUUUUUUUUUCAACAGAAAUAAUCAUGCUACCUCAGUGAAUGAAUGCAUGCUUAUGAGAGCAUAUUUGCAGUAAAGGUUUAGUUUGAAGUGUUGGACCUAUAUUCAUGUUAUGGGAGUGUGUAAGUUGAAGUUCAUAACUAGGAUCGAUCACUUUGUAUCUGACUCAGCUGUAAUGCUGUACAUCCUUCAGGGUCUGCGGCCAGAACUUCCGAAGAAUGGGCACCCUAAAUUAUUAGAGUUGAUGCAAAGAUGUUGGGAAGCAAUUCCAAGCCACCGUCCAUCCUUUAAUGAGAUAACUGCUGAACUUGAAAAUCUUUUGCAAGAAAUGGAGGUAAAUUAUAUUAUUAUUUAUUAAAAAUUAGGACAAAUUGCAUUCAUACUCCCUAAACAUAAGUGACAUUGCACCCAAUAUCCUUCCCUUUUCCAUACAGGGACUUUAAUUAACAAAUUAGGAUAGGCUUAUGUUAAUAGAAAGAGACAUUGUUAUAUCAAGUAAUUGUGGAAAGUUUGCGUUGGGUCAAAAGAGGGAGAGACAUCUGGUGCAAUUUCACUUUAGUUUAAAUAAUUUUCCCUAAUAAUUAUUUUAUCCUUUUUGUUUUUUUGGUAAACAUUUAAUUUAGAUGGCCUGAUUAUAGUUUAUUAUGUGCAAAUUGCAGAAAGAUUCAGAAGCGAAUGGUGCUUGACAUUUUCAGCACAAACUAAUAUAUUCCAGUUAUUUUACACGGUGGGAUGGAUCUGACUUUUUUUUCCCUUCCUCUGGCAGCUGUAGAGUUUUUUUCACGUUCCCUUGUGGCACCGAGGGAGAAAGGAGUUCACAGAAAUCGUGACCAAUACAAAGUGAGAAAAUGUAAAGAGGCAUACUAAUGUUAUAGCUGACUAUACUUAAAAUAUAUAUCCCAGGAUCACGUCAAACUUCUCCGAAAUUAUUUUGAUUCGAGGAAUGCGUUCCACGUGGCUAUUGAUGUGUUCUGGUAGCCAAAAAGAAACAUAGUUGACGUAAAAUCAAUGAAGUGUAUAGUGAGGGUAAUGCUGUUGAGCUUUAAUGUUUCAUUUUUUUUCUUGGGGUCAAGUAUUGAGAAUUUUAUGUUUUGCACUGUAAAUUAAUGACAGGCAUGGACCGAUGAGACCAGGUAUCUAAACUAUUUUAAUGCAAAGUGUUACCUUUGCCUUAUUAUUCAUAUACAUGUUCUCAUAAUUAGGUGAAUUUUAUGUGAGAUUCAUCAAAAAGUCUUGUUAAUAAUUGUUUUAUUGGAAAUUUAAUUUAGAAAUCAUGCAAGAGGUAUGUUUUUUUUACAUAUUUUUUCCUUUAGAUUUCAAACAACCUUCACUACAAAAGGACUGAGAUUUACAUCUUACAUAGAUUUCACCCAAUAAAAAUAGUUAUGCUGAUAGUUGAUGCCAAUUGUUUAACUUAUGUUGGAGUUAAAUUUUUCUGUUUAUUGAAAAGAUGACCAGUAAAAAGAUCAUCGAUGGCUUGAGGCGCAUAACCCCACACGUAGGUAUGAUUGUUAGUUGUUACAACCAGACGAACUUUGCAAGUGAAAGUGAGAAUGAAGUACGGUCUUCGUCGAUAGCAUUAAUGGCGCGGUUAAGUUUUNNNNNNNNNNNNNNNNNNNNNNNNNNNNNNNNNNNNNNNNNNNNNNNNNNNNNNNNNNNNNNNNNNNNNNNNNNNNNNNNNNNNNNNNNNNNNNNNNNNNUGUAUGUUUAUUAGCAUUUUUUAUUUAUGUAUCUAUUUUCAUAAAUGAUAUUAUUAAUUUUUAUUUUUUAAAAUAGAUUGUUUCAACCGACUUUGGUCUUUGAUUCGCCACUAAGUGUAUGUACGAUUGUGAUAGAAGACAUAAUUAUGAAACACCUAGAAGGCUAGAAGAUUUAGUGUUAGAUGUUUGCAAUCUGGUGGCUAGUCCUUGAGUGGAUGUGCAAUGCUCAUUGUCUUAUCCUUUUUCUGUCAAAGGCAAUCUAGCAAUGUUAAUGUCCAUUUAUAAAUUAUAUAUUACUUAUCCAUCAAAUUAACAAAAUAUGUUUUUAAAAUGUGAAAAAAUAAGGAUCAUUUGACUGUAUUAUCAUUGUUGUUUAUUUUUUACAAGUCACCAAAUGAUAUAGACUGAUAAAAAAAAAGAGAAUGUGGAAACUGGAAAACUUUCUAUGUAAACUAACCGAAUGAUAUAAAGUUCAUGAUUUGUUAUAACAUUCAUAUUGUACUUUUGAAUUUGUUACAACACUUGAUAAAAUAUCUUACUCGUAAUUUUUUAUGCAUGAUAUAAAACAACUGAAAAUAUCUUUAAAGUGUUUUUUCUUUUUCUUUUUUACAAAUUAAAGUGUUCUUUUCUUAAAAGAGUAAUAUUGUCACGAAAUAAUCUUAAAGCAUCGACGUUUUGAUACUUUUUGAUUAGUUCUCUUAUGCUAUGACCCUAAAAAUUUAUGCCAAAACUAAAAUUUUAAAUUUAAUAAUUUAUGAAUAGGAAUUUUAAUAAAUUUGUACAACGUGAAAACUGGGAAGUUAUCGGUACGUGUGAUGUGGACAAAGCUUUAUACAGAGACUGCUAACCAAUAUGGGAUUUUUGGACAAAAACUCUUUGCAACAUCUGAAUAGAGUAAUAAAAAAGGAAAAAGAAACAGAAAUUGAAUUUUGUGAAAUCUAAGUAUCUAACAAGUAAAAACUAUAUAAACUUUUACUGUCCUCUGCCCCAGGAAGAUAUAGGAUAAAAUUCAAAUCCUGUGGGCUGGAUACCAGAUCACGUCCAAAUUCAUUUAUUUGCUGGGCCCAAUUACAAUGAUCAAAAUUCAAUAGAAAAUAAAUAUAUAGUGCUUUAGUGUACCAGAUGAAUACUCGCAAGCUUUCUGUCCAGAUACAUAUUCCGGUUUCAUUUCAAUCAUUUGAAUUAACUUUUUUUAUUUUAACAAAGCUCGUUCACUUGAGUGAUUUCAUUUUCUUCUUCUGAUUUGAAGUUUCCAAAUAAAACUGAUUGUGUUUACAGAUCGAUGGUUUAUCACUUUAGCUAAAAUUUGGUUAACAAAUUUAAUAUCAUGUUGCAGUUUAAAACAAGUUUAAUAUAAUGCUAAAAGCUAGCGUUUAUUAUUUUAUUUAUUUUUGUUAUAAAUAUAGUUAAAAGUCACAAAACUAAUUAUAAGCCUUUUUGACACUAAUGAAUUUUUGGGAACUAACUCACAUAAACUUUUUUUAUAUAAGCAUUUAUUAUAUCAUAUAUUGAAUUGAAUUAAUAAUGCAUCCCUAAAAAUGUAAUUUUUGAAUUAAGCAUCCUUUAGCUUAAACAUAUUUUUAGGUAGUGUUACUUAAGUGAAGUUUAAUUUUUUAAUGUUAUGAAUGAUUAAUAUUAUGUAUUUUUGUUUAAUUUUAGUUAAUAUGAUUAUAAAAAGGUUCAUGUUGCAUGAGAUAUUUAUUUAAAAUAAUACGUAGAUUUUCAAAUAGAGUAAUUACAAUUAUUUUAAAAUAAAUACCUCAUACAAUAUGAACUGAGACGAGAAAGUGCAAAUAAUACAUUUUCUUUGGCAAUGUUGAAACUUGGGGCACGUGGAAUGAAAUGGGACAGACCCAUGUUACAACUUACAACUUGCUCCAUUAUUGGGGGCAAAGAUCCAUGCUCAUUUAUCAUGACGUAAAUAUAAUUUUUUUUUAUUAGCAUUUUGAAUAUUUAAUUUUUUUCUUCUUCUUCUAUGAAACAAAGAAUUAACAUCCGUGUUACUUUUGUUUAUUUUAAAAAAUCAUUAUUUUAAUAAUUUUAAAAUUGGAAAAAAUUAUGUACCGAAAUUAAUUAAUCAUUUUGCAAGCACUAAAUCAACUGUAUGUAAUUGGUAUGGUAUGUAUAUUAACAUUAAGUUUAUGUGAUUCAAUCUUGGAUUUGAGUUUUAUUAAUUAAAAAGAAUUCUUUUAUCAAAAGUGAUUAUAAAUAUUUUGAUAAAGAUUAAUUUUUAAUAAAAUUGAUAAAUUAUUAAUGUCCAUAUCAAUUGAUUAUAUAACAACCAACUUAAUACGUAGGAAAGAUGUUGCCAAACAAAUGUGAAGUACUAUUAGAAGGGCCAUCUGAAAUAAUAAAAAAAAAAAGAUAAAAACUAGAAUACGUAAUAUAUAUAUUGGCAUGGAUAAUGGAUGCCUCAUGCCAAAACGAUAUAUAUAUAUAUAUAUAUAUAUAUAUAUAUAUAUAUAUAUAUAUAUAUAUAUAUAUAUAUAUAUAUAUAUAUAUAUAUAUAUAUAUAUAUAUAUAUAUAUAUAUAUAUAUAUAUAUAUAUAUAUANNNNNNNNNNNNNNNNNNNNNNNNNNNNNNNNNNNNNNNNNNNNNNNNNNNNNNNNNNNNNNNNNNNNNNNNNNNNNNNNNNNNNNNNNNNNNNNNNNNNAAGGAAUUGAUGAUGAUCUCCAACCAGACACAUGCUGUUUCUACGUGGGCAUGUUUGUGAUGAGCACUUGUCUGCAGUCAUAAACUAUAUAGAAAACGAUUUCUUAUAAAUGUUUUUUCUUCUUUUUAUUCUAUUAAUAAAUAGGUUAUAUAUAUUCCUACUUUUAUUUUAUCCCUCCCUGGUCGAGUAGUGGAGCAGCAAAUUUGUAAUCUGCAUUAACUACUAUGAUAAAGUAUAUCAGGGUUAAGGAAAAUGCUAACAAUGUUACGAAUAGUUAUUUUAAUUGUAAUAUAAAAAUAAAAGACGAGUAUUUAAAAAUACUAGUUUUAAAAUUUUUAGAUUUAAUUUAAUUCAUAAAAUAUUAUCUUAAUAAUUUAAUUUAAAUAUAAUGUACUGAUAUAAUAUUUUUUAUAUUGUACAUCCAACAAAAAAUUGUUAUUUUAUAUAUAUAAGUUUGUGAACUUUUAUAGUAUAUAUAAUAAUUACCUUAAAAAUUAUUUCAAUGGUAAUUAUUUCUUAUUAGUGACACUAUAAUUUUUUUAAUAUUGAUAAUGUUAAUUAUAUGAAAAUAAGUAUAAUUAAAAAUGAAAAAAUAUCCUUUAAUUAAAUAUGAAGUUAAAAUUAUGAAUUUAACAUUGAUUGUGAAUAAAAAUAUUAACUCAAGUGUUCUGGAUAUAUAAAGAGAACACAUAUGUAAAUUGUCUCAAUUUAAAAAAUAAAGACUCAAAAUAUUUAUUAUACAAGGAAAUAUUCUUACACUACAUCGGUAUUGGUAAAUACAUGUGAAAUAGAAAAGGAUAAAUUGAAAACUUUAAGAAAAUAUUAUUUUAUUGGCAAUCAAAACAUAAAAUUAAUAUAUUUGAACAUUUUAAUUUUAAAAAUUUUAAACUUAAUUUAAUUAAUGGAAUAUUAUUUUCAUUAUAAUUUAUAAUUAUCUUAUUAUAUUUAACAUUAAUUAAAAUAAAUAAAUAUUGACUAAAAUAUUUAUAGUGUUUGAUUUUGAGAUAACUAAAUAAAAUGAAGAAUAUUGUUUGAUAUAAAAAAGUCAAUAAAAUAUGUGUCAAAACAUAAAAUAAUGUGAUUGUAUAAAGGAAACAUGUUGUGGGAUUAUAAUCAAUUGAAAAAGAAAGUAACUAAUAAGCUAGCUUUUUAUUAUUAUUUUAUUUCAACCAUAUAACCAUGUCCUUAACUUAACAAAACCCAUGAAUUCCUCUGUACAUUUAUUUAUUUUUAAUUAAAAAUUACACCAAUUGACCGAAAUCCACACAAUCUACCACAUUGCCCUCUUUUCUUAGUUACAGUUUAAUGUUAUAUAUAACUCAGAAAAGAGACCACAAAGAAAAUAAUUUAGCAGACCUACAAAAUAACAUGGCCAUGAAGAAUAUGCCAAGAUCUCUCCAAUAUAUGAUUUUGAAACUCAACCUAGUUCGUUCAAUUUGUCUGUAAUCCAAGUUUUUCUAUGGUUCGUUUUUCUUUUCACAUUCUCUCUACCACAUGGCUUUUGGAUCAAGCAGACCCCAUCUCCCACUAUAUUUUGUAUCCUCUUUUUUAUUUUUCCAUCACCAUUAUUCUUUUCAUGCAUCUCGGUAGUAAUCGCUUUCACAUAGCUACUGCAUGUGUUAUUCUCAAAAGUUGUAGAAUAUAAUGCCAAGGAGAAUUAUGAGACAUUGGAUAGGACAAAUUCCACACAUAUCACAUGCAUGGCACACAAAUGGACUAAGAGUGUUUUGAAUCCCAAAGAGUAAUAUUGGUAUAUACCUAAUAAACUUGUUAUAUAUUGGCCAACUUAUUGACAAUAUAUGUGGCAAAAUACAUAGAGAUUUAUCUGUCCACUCAAAUACUAAAGUUAUCAAUUAUUUGAUCUGUGUGAUUUUUUUAUCCUUCCGUAAAUUAUUGAGAUGGCAGUCAUUAUUUUUAAUAUUUGCCGCUUUACUCAACUACAUUGAGGGAAAAAAAACAUCUUGACUUUCUUCUUGAGUUGGAUUUUACGUAUUGUAAUUUUCUCUCUCUGCAGAAUGAUUAUAAAAGAUAUUUGUGUUUGUGGAUAUCAGUGCAGAAAAAUGCAUUGAAAAACAUCACUCCAAAAGUUGUGAUUUUCUUUUACUGACAUUUUACCCAAUUUUGAAAAAAAUAAUUAAGAAGAGAUGCUAGUAACUUCUAAUUGACAUGACCACACAUCAUAAAGCUCAAAUAAGAGAAUUAGAGUAUCAAUAUAGUAAAUCAUUAUAUAUAUUUGAUUAAAAUGAUAAAGGAUGAUUUACAGUAGGUGUAAGUGCUCUAUAUAGAGAGAGCUUGUUUCUAAUAAGCUAAUAUUUAAUCUUAAAAGUUAAGAAAACACUUUGCCAAUAUAAAUCGUGCAUCAGGGGGAUCACAAGGGACUGCAAACUCCAAUUGUUAUAAACAGCAGGGUCAUUCUUUAAUUAUUUACAAAUAAAUCUGUUAAAACUAAUUUAAAUUAUUUAUAAUGAAAUUCUAUACAAUUUUCCAAUUUAUAUGGGAAGUUGCCGAAAGCCCAAGAAAUGCUUCAGUAUGAUUGGUUUCUCAUCCUAGAGCCUAAAAUAAUAAGAAGUUAUAUAUUCUUUUUUCUUCACUUUGAACUUGUUUACAACUUGAGAUUAAUGAGAAACCAAUCACACUGAAAAAAGGUAUUUACAUUAAGGAAAGGAGAGAAUGUGACCAGUAAAGAUACUAGCUUCUGGCUUAUUCUAUUCAAUUAAUAGCUCAAAUUGCAACUUGUGUGCAAGACCUAAUUUUUAUUAUCUCUUUUCUGUUUUCUUUCUCCAUUAUACUAAACAAGAGAAAAGCUGCUUUUUCUAUCCACUUUGUCUCCUUUUUCCACCAAAACCAAACUGCAUUUUAAGUGUAAAUCUUGACAAAAAUUUGUUAUUUCUUCUCAAAGAGUUUACGUGAUUUUUGGUUGGUGGGGUCUUCUCUCACUGAUUUGACAUUAAAAAAUGCAACAUAAUUGUACAAUGACAUGCAGGUUAAUUUAUAUUUUUUAAAAAAAACUGUAUUUUCACAGACACAAUUUUUAUAUCGCGUAUUUAUCAUAAUUCUUUGCUUUUAAUUAUGUGGUAGAAUUGUUAUUAAAUUAAUUAUCAAAUUUACAAACGAAAAAUAUAAGAAUAGUAAGUGCAUUAUAUUUUACCAUUUUCCUAUUGAUUACAUGUGAUUAUGUCUGCCACACACUUGGAACAUUGAAGCUUGUAAUGGAAGGAUCGAGAAAAUAAGAUAAACAAUUUUAAAAUGUGUCCUCCCCACAUACACUAGGUCAGUUUAGUUUAAUGAAAGGGUCCCAUAUAUAUUGUAGCAGGUUCAUAUUUCCACAUUAUGAUGGAACCCUUGGACCCUACUAUAUCAGAUCAUGUCUUGCUUAUCUUUUCUUUCUUUUAUAUAUCCUCUUUUUUUUUUUUUUAUUCAGUUCUCGUUGCUUAUUAAGUAUUGUAAAUACUGUUUUUUUUUGUGCUCCUUCUAAAUACUGAUUAACAAAAUAAUAAUAAUUUAUAUAUAUUAAAAUUUACAAUAAAACACAUUUAUAUAUUUUAAUAAAAUUUUCAUUUAUAAUCCGUUAACUAAUAUUCUAAAUACACAUGUUAAUGUUAGCUUUUAUUCCAACAUAAGAUAUCACACAAAGAAUUAAUUAAAUGUUAAAUAUUAAAUUUUGGAGACAAAUGUCACAAUGAAAUGAUGGUUCGUGUCAACUGAGUUAUUAAUUUAAGAAUUAAAUGUAGAUACAGUCGAUUAGUUCUCUUUAUUAAUUGUGUUGUUAAAUUAUAUUUUAAAAAAAAAAUUAGGUUGUAUUUACUUUGUGUGAUAUCUUUCCGGUUUUGUAGAACAUAAAAAUGUAUACUACAUAAUUAAAAACAAUUAAAGAGAAUAAAAAUCUUAUUUAUUUGCAUCUAACGAUGUACUUACUUUAACGGAAAAAAAUAUGUAAUAUUUUUUAGAUUUUCAAAAUUUAAUGUAUAUAUAAUUACUUAUAAAAUUACUCUCUGUUCAUAUAUAUAAAACCUAAUUAAAUAAUUAAUUAAUAUUAAUAAAAAUAAUGUAUUUAGUUGAAAACAAUAAAUUUAUUUAAAAUUUAUAAUUUUUUCAAAAUUAUUUUUAUCAUUAAUAUUUUUUCUCUUCAAAUAAUUUAUUAAUAUAUAUAUAUAUAUAUAUAUAUAUAUAUAUAUAUUAUUUUAAUAAAAAAUAUUUCUGAUAUAAAAAUAAUUAAUAUAAGACAUCUUAUAAAAAAAACAAACAUCAUCUUAAAUUUUAAUCUUAUAAAUAGAAACGAAAAAAAUAUUUAGUUUAUUUCACUCCAAAAAUAUGAGUAGAGAUAUUCACACCCGUAUUCUAUCAACCAUCAUAUACUCAUAUAUGUGAGACUUUACUUUAUUCCACUUGAAAAAUCUCUUGAAAUUUAUAUAAUUUAGAAGUUAUUUUAAACAGGAAAAAAUCUAAAUUGAAUUGAGUAACUUUAUUUAAGAAAAUAAAUUAAGAAAAAUCUUUUUACAAUUCUUUCAUAUAUAAAACUUUCACUUUAACACCUUAUUUAAAGAAAAUUAAACUAAUUACUACUUAAAUAGACACACAUUCUUUGAGAUUAAAUGUAGGAUAAAUAUAAGUAUAUUUGUAAUUGUAAGUUUUUUUUAAGCCGUGACUUUCCCUUCCAUGAACUAGGGUCCCUCCCCCUGAAUUUUCAUGCACCACGCAUGUCUUUGCAAACUGCACUCCUAGUUCCUAAAAAUCUCAUAAUGAACAGUUCCACUUUGAGAAAGUAUAAUUGAUAAUAUUAUAUAAUAUAAACUUGAUGAUAUUUGACAAAAUACUAGUCCUGAAAAAACAAUUAAAAAAAUAUUUUUAAAAUAUUUAUAUUAGUAUCCUAUGUUGCAGUAAACCUUAUGAAUAAUUUAGAUUUUUCCACCCCCAAAAAAGUUAGAUUCUCUAAUUUUUUUUAAUAAAAUGAGUGCGAAAUUUUACCUAAUACUAAAAAAAAACUAAAGAUACUUUGUUAAAUAUUCUUCUAAAAAUAAUUAUGUACUAAUGAAGAAAAAAAAAUCUCCAGGGUGGGCAGCAAAUCUAAUAUUUUAUUUUGAUGUUUGUAAAAAAAAUUCCAACUUCUAAUAUUCAAAGUUGGAGAUAAAGAUUCCUUCAAUCGGGUCCAAAUCCGACUACAGUAUUGUGAUGUUCCAAACGGCCACCUAGAUGCAAACAUUUUUACUUCAAACAUUUUAAUCGUGUGUAUUGUGUAAUGUUACUAAGAAUAUUAUAUUAUUAUCACUUAACAGUUAAAUUCAAAUAUAAAUCAAUAUUAUAUAAAGAAAACCCUAUACAAAUAAUAAUUAAAGUACAAAUUUAAAAAAAAAGAAAAUAUUAAAUUCACUUAAUGAAUUCGAACUGAUGUAGCAACGAAGCACACAUGUCGUGAUUUCAUUAAUAUAAUAGUUUUUAAAAUUUGUUGUACAAUGGUUAAGAAAUAAAAAUAAUCGGUGUUUGGUCGACCCUGCACAUUUUUCUAAGGCAAAUACCAAUCGAUUUGAUAUUGGCCUUGUCAAGGCCAAUAGUAGUAUAUAUCUUACUUUUGAUGUUAUUCUUUCUAACGAAUAUAAAUAUAUAUUACUUUCGAUCCUUCAUAAAAAUGAGUAAUAUAUUUUUUUGUCCUAAUUAUAAAAGAUACAUGAUUAAUUCAAAUGUAUUAGUCGUUAAUUUUUAGAGAAUCAAUGUACAAUGAUAUAAAAAAAGGGUCUUGUAUCAAUUUACUCAUUUAUAUAUCAAUAUUAAACGUUGGUUAUUAGAUUUAUUUUUAUCGUAUUAUCCUAUAAAAAUUAUUAUCUUACUUUUGAUGUUAUUCUUUCUAACGAAUAUAAAUAUAUAUUACUUUCGAUCCUUCAUAAAAGUGAGUAAUAUAUUUUUUUGUCCUAAUUAUAAAAGAUACAUGAUUAAUUCAAAUGUAAUAGUUGUUAAUUUUUAGAGAAUCAAUGUACAAUGAUAUAAAAAAUGGGUUUUGUAUCAAUUUACUCAUUUAUAUAUCAAUAUUAAACGUUGGUUAUUAGAUUUAUUUUUAUCGUAUUAUCCUAUAAAAAUUAUUAUCUUACUUCAUAUGUCUCAAAAAAAGUAAUAUAUAUAUAUAUAUAUAUAUAUAUAUAUAUAUAUAUUUAUAUAUCUUUUUUUUUAAUUUUGUAAAUGAGUGUCAUAGAAAUAUAUUAAUUUAUUCAUUUUUACUUUUUAUUAUAUACUUUAAUUUUUAAAUCCGAUGAAUUGAACACUAAUAAUCUGUUUUAUGUUUGGUUUCAAGUUUAGAAGUCUUUACCUCUUAAGUCGAUGAAACUAUAUGUCUAUAUUCACGAAUUGGAAAAUUGUACAUCAAAAUGUAAUUAAAUUGUAAUACAAACACAUACUUAAAGAGUCUGCUUAAUAUAUACCACAUGAACUACGUUAAAUACCGAAAACCUAUGAGAGUGAGAUUGACAUUCAACAUGCCAAAAAAAAAAUACUACCAAACAUGUAAAAACACACAUUUAAUAGUUGGUGCUGAUGCACGGCAAAAGAAAUUAGUGCAAUAAAUACCUUUGGCAAUUAAUUCAAAACACUUGGUAUAACGAAUUGUGAGUAUGGCAAGUUUGUCAUCUGCUCUUAUUCUUCCUAACACGUUUGGACCCAUCUUAUCACAAAACAUUAUUAGAGGCCCUACCAUCUGAGGUAUCAGUUUUUAUUAUGCCACUUGACCCUUUUACUUGUUUAGGUUGAUGACUUUGGGAUGCUGAGAAUAGUGUUAAUUUGUCAUUUGUUCCAUAAUUUUUUUAAAUAAAAUUUAAAGUUAUUGGAUAUUCUAUUAAAUACAAAUACUUUAAUAUAUAUUAUAUAUAUUUUUAUAAUAUAAAUAAACUAAUAUUUUAGCCUAUGCAUUGCACAUAAUAAAUGUUUAUUGUAUAUAACUAAUAUUUAUAAUAAAUAAUUAUUUUAAAUACAUAAUUACAUUAUAAUUAAAAAUCAUAUCAUAAUAAAUAAAUUUUUUUAAACAUAUAAUCUAUAUUUUAAAUUUUUAAUCUAAUAUGAUAUUUAUUUUUAGUUAUUGAUACUUUAUUUAAUGAAAUAUUGAAAUACAAUUUAGAACUAAAGAUAUUAAAAAUAAUAAAUUGAAGGAGAUAAAAAAAGUAAUAAAAAAAAUCUAAAAAUACUCUCGCUGAAGUUAUUAAGUGUUGUUAAUCUAAUUGUUGAAUAUGCACACAAAAUUUUAGAUAAACAUCUGCUUAUAUUUUAAAAAGUAUAUUAUACGUUAAUUAAAUUUAUCAAAUAAAUAGAUUCACGCACUUCUUCUGUUCUCUUUCUCCACACACACACAAUUUUUUUAGUUAAUAUAUUAAAUUAAAAAAAAUUAUAUUCUAACUAGUUACAACUUAAAUUUAUGAAAAACUCUCCAAAACGUAUCUUGUUAAUAAAUUUAAAAAAAAGUUUCCAGCCCCUCAUUUAUUUUGACUAACUUUAUUUGCUUUCCACAAGACCACAGGUCCACAACUAACACUUACGUUUUCAACAAUGAAAAAAGAAGUCGUAAACCCUUUAAUAAAGGAAAUGAUAUUUUAUAAAAUAAUUGUAAUAAAAUUGAUUAUUAUUUACACAAGACUUAAUAUUCUAAGCGUCAAAUAUCCAUAUAGAUUAUGAGUAUAAUAACAAUUUUAUACUGUUGAUUUGAAAUAACACUUUAAUAUUAUAUUAUUCAUUUUAAAUAAUAAAUUAUUUCUUGGUAUCAAUAAUAUGCAGUUAAAUUCUUACUUUGUUAUUUUUAUAGACUGUCAAUGGUACGGGAGUAAGCUUCUCACUUUCUCUGUCGGGAUUUUUUCAGUCACAUUCUUAAUUGGCGCCCGACAAUCAAAUGAAAAGUUACUUGCGGAAACGCACAUACUUUUCAGACUGCACGUAGACAACAUCAAGAACAAAAGAAAUCAAAUAACCCAAUCUUUCAUGAAAUUUUUUAAACAUAAACAAUUUCACUUUUUUUCUUUCUUUCUAAAGUAUAGUAAAUAUACGUCACAUAGAUACGAACACAUUAUUAUGAUUUACAUAAAUUGGGUAACAAAUUGAGAGAGAAUAUAAUUUAUUUAAUUAUAUAUGUUAUUAGUUUUACAACCCCCUGCAAACGCAGCUGGUUGAAAACUACAUGAUCAUGCAGCGAGGGCGCAGUGCUUUACAACUGUUAAAAUACACCGAUAUUCAUAAACAAAAGAAAAAAGACAAGAAACCAAUCCCUAUCAUAGAAAAUUAUAAUGAUUUAACAUUUUUUUUAUAAAAGACAAAACGCCGAAACUUUGCUUCCAAUUCUUCUCUUUCGUGCAUCGCGAAGCGCUUCUUCUUCCUUUUCUAUCGCUUUCUUUUAUUCGUUGCACAUAUUCUUCAUAUCCUACAAAAAAUAUGAACAUAUUAUUACCAGUGUCGGUCAAUGUCAUGAUGAAGUGGUCCCUUGACUAAAACCAAACGAGAAAAUAUCGUUUUCCAUAUCAGACUAGAACCUCGAUAGGGAUCACGAGGGUUUGGUACUCGUUUUUUGGGAACAAUUAAUAUAUGGANNNNNNNNNNNNNNNNNNNNNNNNNNNNNNNNNNNNNNNNNNNNNNNNNNNNNNNNNNNNNNNNNNNNNNNNNNNNNNNNNNNNNNNNNNNNNNNNNNNNAGUGCGACGGUGCGCGAAGUGGUGGUGGCGAGUGGUAGUAAUAUGGCUUCUUAGGUGGAGUGGGAGAAGGUGGAGGAGGAGAGUGAUAAUAAUAUGGCUUCUUUGGUGGUGAAGGAGAAGGUGGUGGUGGAGAGUGGUAGUAAUAUUUUGGUGGUGGAGGUGGUGAAGGAUAGUGGUAUGGAGGAGACACCGGUGGGUACUUCUUGGGUGGUGGAGGUGAUGAGUACAAGUAGUUAUCAGCUAAGAUUUGUGUUGGCAAGCUUAGAGACACUAUAGCCAAUACAAGAGUCAAUGUUGCAGAGGCCAUUAGAGACCCCAUUGUUUUUCCCCUCAACCUCACUACAAAGUGGGGUUUUGUUAUGAUCUUUGUGAACCAAGUGCCACCCUUUAUAUAGAUUCUUUCUUUACCCCAUUCAACACCAACUAAUCAUUUUGGUAAAAAAAAAUUCAACCAUACUAAAAUGCGCAAGCAUUUUUCCAAUCAGGUGUUGUUCUCUUUCUAGUAGCAGCCUUCACUUAAUUGUUUUCAAAUAAAAAGCUAAUAAUUCAUCUCAUAAAAAUUUAUCAAUUAAAACAGAAUUUAUUGCCAAUAAGAUAAAAAAGAAAUGGAAAAUAAAUAUGUAAAUAAAUUAAAACUACAUUCCCCAGUAUUCACGUUCAUAAACAGAAAAGGCCUUAAAUUAUGAAAAUGAUAUCUGUCCUUUUUUGUAUAUGGGUUUGACGGAGGCUGCUAAGCUAGCACAGCAGGGAAAUAAUAUUCAACAAAGUAGCUACUAAUUGUGACAUUGAACUUUUAAUUAUUUUCUCACUGUAUAAGGCGAUCUAGUUAAUAAUUUUCAAAUAUUCAAAGAGGAAGUCAUAUUCAUUAAAGUUUUGGGUAUUCCUAAUUUGUCAUUUCUCGUCCUAAUACACUUCAUUCAACUUUGAAAAAUACAUGGAUGGUUUGCCUAACACUGUGCGAUAUUUGUUGUCAUCGGAAGACUUUAAAAAGAUUUGUACUGCAUGGCCCAUAGCAGCCUCAGCUCAAUGAUUUUUCUUUCUCUCUCUAAUAAAUUAAUCUACGGUUCUCAAGAGCACACUCUAGUCUUGAGUGUGCAACAGAUCACAACUUGCACAUGUUGCAUGGCAUUGCUUGAGUCCUUUUCGGAUAAAGACAAGGGAAGCUAUGCCUCCUUUUACUUUCCAGCUUUUUUUAUUUUUUACUCUCCAAAGUAUAAAACUUUGGUAUAAGAAUGCUGGUCAAAUUUAUGUCUUGUAAUCCAUUAUAACUAAUUUGGUUUCCUCAAUGAAAUGUGAAAAUUAAAAAUAAAUCCCAAUUAUUUUCAUUAGAUUAAAGAAAAUGAAAUUUUAAGUCUAGAAAAUAUAGUCAAAUUUAAAAAUAAACAAUUCUUUUUAUCUUUUUUUUUAUAUAUAGAAAAUACAAGUAUGUAACAAAUUUUUUUCAUUAUUAAAUAUUUAACGCAUAACCCAUUUGUAUAUAUAUCCAAAUUCGAAUUAUAGAUUCUUAAUUAAACUAGAACCACUCAACAUGGAUUAGUCUAUUGUAAGCAAAUCUCGAUACUUUUAAGUAUACAUGCAACAAUUUAAUAGAAGCAAGCAUGUAAAUCAUGUCGUUGGUAACAAUAUAAUAUAUAAUAAACAAAUAAGAGCGUACAAAUUUACUAACGCAUGAAGCAUGUUCGUGUAUCGUUGUAUGAAAAGGAAAUUGUCAAAUUAAUAUGAUAUUGUACAUACAACUGAUACUGGUAAUAAGAUCUCAUAUAUUGUUCAGAUUUCAUAACGUUGACCGUAUACAUAUUAAGCACGAUGAGCUUUUACAAAUAUUUAGUUAAUCAAUUAAAAUAUAUGGGAUAACUUAUUUAAUUCUCAGUACAUAUCUUAUGGGACCAAAACUUUUCGAUAUCGGUUUCCCUGUCCUCAUAAGUUAUUAAUACGGAUUAAAUAAAUGGUGAAAUGACUAUUCAACAUAUUGAAUUUCUUAUUAAAGUAAACUAUUUUUUAGGGGGGAAAACGCAGUUAUUAAGAAGUCACUACCAAAAAAGAAAAAGUUACUAACAUCUUAUUGUUUGAUUAAUCGUCGUCAUUAGAAGAUUGAUAGCCACCCAGCAACUAUUAUUAACUAAAAAGAAAACCAACAAUGGGAUAAUUUAACAAUUAAUCAAAAUGUGUGAUUUAUGCAGCCAGUUGUUAGUGUAGGUUGCAAAUUGCUUUAUCCAUUAAUGCCACGAAGCAAGACUUAUGCCUUAAAUAAGUUCUGAAUUGACCCUUUUCUAUAUUGCUACCAGUUACCCAACACUCGAACACAAUACCAUUUACAACUCUUAAUUUGUUUAAUACUUGUCUCUUCUGUAAAUUGGAUAGUGGAAGAGAAGGAUUCAAAAUUGUGUUAUCCACAUCGUAUUUCCUUUUGAACUUGCCCAGUUUUUAUGGGUGAAAAAUCAAUUUUUUUGAAGUAGAUGGGUGGAGGGGCGAAGAGGAAGAGAACUGUCAGAAUAUAGCAUGUGACUCUCUUAAAUUUAAAUAGAUGAUUCAAUUUUUUUAUUGAUAAAUGUUAUUUUUUAAUUUAUUAGCUAGGAAUAAUCUAACACAACUUUUUUUUUUAUUUUCUUCUUUCUUAAUCAUCCAACAACCUUAUAUCUCCUAUACCUCUUUUAACCUGAGUAGUGAAUUAUUUUUAAUUGUAAUUCAAUGACUUUCAUUAAUAGUUCUCAUUUCUCCAGAAUUUUUAAGUGGUUAAUUUAAAAAAUUUAUUUUGAUUAACUAAAUUUAUAAAAAGUGAUUUAUUUUUUUAGAGAAUAUAAAAUUGUUUUAUGAUCAUCUUAUAUAUUUAAUUUUAAUUUAUUUUAAUAAAUUUUACGACAAAUAUUACUAAAAAAAUAAAAUUUAUAAUUCACUUCUCUAAAAAAUUUCUCCNNNNNNNNNNNNNNNNNNNNNNNNNNNNNNNNNNNNNNNNNNNNNNNNNNNNNNNNNNNNNNNNNNNNNNNNNNNNNNNNNNNNNNNNNNNNNNNNNNNNAAAAUUUAUAUGACCUAAAAGGCUUAAAAUAUGUUUUUGUUCCCAUAUAAUUUAAUGUUUUUCUAUUUAUGGUUAUGUAAGUUUAUUUUUUUAAUUUAACCAUUGUAUGUUUAAGUUUUUUUAUUUUUGGUCUCUGUAAUUUUUUUUUUGUUAAUUUUUAGUUCUUUCAAGUUUGUAUUUUUUUUUCAAUUUUAGUCCUUUUAAGAUUAUAAUUUUUUUAUUUAUAAGAAUCAAAAUUAAAAAAAUAAAACUUAUAAAAACAAAAUUUAUUUGAGCUGACCUAAGUUUGUAUGUCUUUAAUAAUAUCAAAAUGUUCUAAAAAGAGAAGAGUGAUAGAGACUUAGAAUAUAUAUAUAUAUAUAUAUAUAUAUAUAUAUAUAUAUAUAUAUAUGAGGAGAAAUUAAGUUACACCAAAAAUAAUUUUUUAAGAAUUCUUAAAAGAGUUAUUCAUUCUUUUGUGUAAAUUGAUUCAUCAUGUCUAUAUAAUAGAGUAUUGAAUCUCAAACGACAUGGAAAAAUGAAAAAUAUAAUAAGUCGAAAAGAAAAUAAAUUAAAAUGAACGAAAAUGAUAUUAAAAUUUCCUUACUCCUUUCCAAAUUCUGGCAUCAAAAUUUAGUUAUAACCUUAAAGUGAUUUUGCUAAACAUGAAUAUGGAGUGAAAGUUUGUUUAGGCGCCAUACAAGUGUUGGUUGCAGGGAUCGAUCAUGAGGUUGAAAAAAAGGAUAAAACAUUUCUCUGCUUUAUGUAAAGAAGUAAAGAAUGAAAGAUUAAAGAUUCCACAAAGAAAGUAAAGAGAUGGAUGCAUGGGAAGAAUAUAUCACUCAGUUAAACAAAGGGGUUGGGAAGAAAAGUGGAGAUAGUACCUUAUUAAUUUCAUGCUCUUAUUUUCGUAAAAUUCGUUGGGCGUUACCAUUUGUCCAUGCUUCUUCGUAAUGGUUUGGUAAGCUUAAUUAUAACUGUUGUUUCAAUGUGUCUUAAAUUAGAAAACGUAAUUAAUUAGCUAGUUAGUCAUCAUAUACCCAAGUAUCAUUACAUCACGAUUGAUAUAUAACCUAAAACAAUAAAAUAAGUGUUAUUUCUUUAUUUUAUAUAUAUAUAUAUAUAUAUAUAUAUAUAUAUAUAUAUAUAUAUAUAUAUAUAUAUAUUUAAAAAUCACAUAUUUUUUCACAAUAAAUAAUUCUAUUCAAAUUGUGUAAGAUUAUAAUAAAAGAUUUUUUUCUUCUUGUAUAUGGAAGACUUAAAUUCAAUAUCAUUAACUAUAAAUAUUUUAUACCAAUUGGUAUAUAGUUAAUAUAACCAUAAAAUAAAUUAUAUGAAUAACACAAUUCAAUAAAUAAUCAAUGACACUUUGAUGAGGCAUAUGUAUGCCAAUCCUUUGAGUUUCAACAUUCCUGCAAAUAUGAUCAUUAAUAAUAUUUUUUUAUCUAACACUUAAUAAAAAUAUUAUUAAUUUUUUUUGACAACAUUUAAAAAAUAUCACAAAAUUAUAAAUAAAUGUUACAAAUAUAUUUUUAUAAUAUUUAUCAAAUCUUACAUAUAAUUUAUGUUGUUAAAGUCUUUUUAUGAUAUUUUUAAACUUUAGCAGCAUAGAUUAUAUACAUCAUUUGAUAAAAUAUCACAAAAAUACAUUAGUAAUAUUUAUUUAUAAUUUGAAAACAUUUUUUAAGUAUGACCAAAGGCUUUUAAGGGCAUUUUUAUUAAAUGUUAGAAAAAAAAAAUCAUUAAAAGCCAGACAUGUAGUAGUGCAAACUAAAAUGAUAAGGAGAGAGGUAACAAAAAAAAUACAUCAAAGCAAAGAUGCUUACUUUAUAAUCGUUGAUUACCUGCCAUAGUUUAAUUUAAUCAAAUAGUAUAAAAUAGUAAUGACUGGUGGUUAAUCUUAAAUAAGGAUUGACUAAUAAGCAGCCAGCAAUUAAUUCGACAACGCAACCAUAGACGGAAGUGGAAAGUGUUGUUAGAGAACUUUUAUGUAUAUCUUAAAAAAGUAAAACAAUUUAUAAUUCACCGUCACAGGGCAUUAUCAUCAUCAAUCAAUUACGAUGAACCUUACAAGAAAUAAAAUAAUAAAGCAUAAGUAUCAUAGAAAAGAAAGGCACCAGCUGGGGCAAUGAUACACUAGACCUUGAUUAUACAUGGAAAACAUUUAAAAUUAAAAAAAUAGAUAUAUGCUUAGCUUUCAGAUCCAGUCUGGCCAUAUAUUUGACCCUUCUUCAUGAUCUCAUACAUGUCACAUUUCCAUUGACCGAAUGUCCUUUUCACAUGUGUGAGUGAGACAUAGACAGAUAACAAUGUCUGAAGCAAAUGCCAUUAACUUGUAAUAUUUUUUCCUAUAAGUUUAUAGGAGAGGAGUAUAGGUCAUCAGUCACCACCAAUCAAAAUUCAAAACUAAUCUCACUUUCUCUGAUGGUAAUUAACAACAGUUUUAAGUACUAGUAAGUUUGAUUUUGGCAAUUUUGGGGGUAGAAAAUUUCCAAAGAUAGUAGAACCAGCAAACAAGCAAUCACCGGCUACUUCAGUACUGUCUUACUGUGUCUUGGCCGUAAAAUUCCUUUACUUAAAUAUGAAGUGAAAGUGACUGGACAACACACAAUUUGGAAAUUUAUUUGUUUUUUUAAACGAGAUUCUUUAUGGAAAAAAAAAAAAACAAAAUGAGAAUCUACUUGAUUUUAAAAUAAUGUUUAUUUUAAUUGUGGGUAAGUGUGCAUAUUGAAUUUUGAGAACAUUUAUUUUUUUGACCAAAUUAAAUAAACUAAAAUGAGUUUGAUUUCUGAUCAAAUUAAAUUAUUUUUUUUCUUAAUAGAUCGAAACACAGUUUUAACUGAUUUCGGACAAGAAUUUGAUUAAUUUCAAAUUAUUAGAAUUGAAUUAAGGCCUUUACUAGCAUUAACCUUUCUUGUAAAGACCUUUAAUCCAAUUUUAAUUCAGCAAAAAAAAAAGAAGAAGAAGCAUUAACCUUUCAACUAAAAAAAACAGUGCGAAGAACCCAAAACUUGCAUAAUUUAAAGAAAAAAUUACUAUUUUUUAUAAGAAAAUUUACUAAUUUUUGUUGUUACAUUUUAUCAAAUUUUGAACAACAAAAUUUAUUUAAUUUAUACAUAAUGUCCCUGAAAGGUUAAUUGUUUUGUCGUAAACUAUAAUUUGAAGGGGUAAAAGUUAAAAUUUAAAGUGCAAAAGGUUUUUUCUUUUCGAUCCCGCCCAAACCUGAAAUGAUUAUUAGUGGACAUCAGAUGAUUCAGACCUACCUAGGUUGGUGAAAUUUUGGAGGGUUUGUACAUCAAAUUCAUGAUUGGCUUAUUUGGGGAAGACUUUUGUGAGCUAUUCAUAAUCAUUGGCCCGUCUACACUCUAUAGUGCUAACAUGCACGCAUGUACAUAAUGAACACGGAAACUAUAAUAAUAUUAUUAAUUACUAUAUUAUAUAUAUGGUAAAUGAUUGCUUGUUUAAAUAAUAAUAACUAUUGAAAAGCCAAUGGAAAUAAAAAUUGGUAGGAUUGUUAAUUAGCAUGAGAUUUUGAACAACCUUCAAUCAGGAUGUCUGCAAGAUGGGUGUACAGUCCACUAGAGACCACGCAUCUUAAAGCUUGAAUAAGCUUUUUUACAGCUAAAGCCUAACUUUGAAACGUUAUAGACGCCAUGCAAGUCAAAUUCUAAAAGACUAAAACAUUCGUACAAAAUCGUUUACGAAGUAUUGGUACAAAAAUAUUUAUAUCACAUGGUCACUUGACUUUUAUAAGAUAAAUGCUUAUUAAUUAUUAUUAUUAUACAGUAUAUAUGCACCAUAAAAAAUUAAACCCCUUUUUAGGGUGAUUAAUUUUAUGUCAUUGAUAUCAUUUUCAUGAUAUCAGUGGCAAGUUGUAAUUAAAAUUAGAAUAAAAAAAUAUAUAUACAUUUUAUUAAAUAAAUAUAUACAUUCUAUUAAACAAGAUUAAUCAUUUUUAAGUUAAAGAUUUUAUUGUGGGUUAUUAUGUGAUAUUGGGUGUUGUUCUUCAUUGUUUUUAUUUGAAGGUUUUUGUUUGUUAUUUGUAGGGUAUUUAAUAAAAUUUCUCGAGAGUGUCUUAUUUGUAAAGAAUAAUUUCAAUUUUUCACAAAUAUACUAACAACAUUAAUUAAUGAAUUUGAUUAGGAGUGUACGUAAGAGAAAUACAUCUUAAGAGAAGAGAAUGCAUAUGUAAUAUAUUCAAACUUGUAAGAAUAUUUGUGUAAUUUACUUAAAAAAAUAAUUAUACGUAUAAUACGUGGAUUCCUUUCCUCUCAAAUAAAAAAGCAUGUGGUUCCUUUACACGCCCAAUAUUUAUUUAUAGAUCAACUUAUAUAUUAUGAGUAAUGAGAGGACGUAAAGUAUAAAAGUGAUAAGAUAUAUUUGUCAUUGUUAUCUGUACUAUUAAAUAUUGUAAAGUAUUGGUCUAAAAUUUAAAAUACGAAAGUGCUUAUUGUAAUUAUGUACUGUUUAGGUGGAUAGCAUUAGAUUACCAGCAAUUUGCAUGCAAAUACUUUCCUUUAUUUUCGGAAAAUAAUGGGUAGAUACUUGUACUCUAGUAGACACUUAUGUUUCAAUAAUAAUAAAAAAAAGACACUUAUAUGCUUGAUUUAGGGAAGAAAGAAAAAGAAAAAAAAAAUGAAAGAGAUGAUUUUAUAAGUUAUUUAGUAAGGAAGAAAACUGAAUAUUUAUAUAAAAUACCAUAAAUACCCUUUGUAGAAAAAAUAUACUAAAAGUAAUGAUAUUUUAGAUCUUUAAUGUUUUUUUAAUGUAUUAAUCCACUUCUCUCGCUAUCUUUCUGUUUUGGAAAGAUUGUUAAAUUAGUGGGUCCCACCUACUUUUUUUUCAUUUGUUCCUAUUUUUCAAGGAAUCAAAUGAGUGGGAAAAAAAAAUAUAAUUUUAUAUAUUUUCUUUCUCUUCCGUUUCUUCUUAUUUUUUGUCAUUCCAAACAUAUAGUGUAAAAGAAAUAAAGAAAGACCAGAAAUUUUUUUAAGCAUAAUAUAAUAUGUGAUAGGGAAAAAGAUAAAAAAAUUAUAAAUAUUAAGAAAGUGUUUAGACUUUAGAGUUAAAAAAUAUUCGUAUUUUUCUAUCACUGUAAAUGAAACUAGAUCCUUCUCCACAUGAUAGUUCUCUCUCCAACGAAAUUAUUUACCAGCUUAUCUCUCUC
rnacentral:lncRNA from 1 species